rnacentral:lncRNA from 1 species
AAAUAUACACUAAUAUAUAAUAAUAAUAGUAAUAGCAAAAAUAAUGAAAAUAUGAGUAAUAUUAAUAAUAUAUUAAAAUACAAAAGUAAAGUAAUAACAAUAGAGGUGAUAAUAAUAAUAAUAAUAAUACAAACAAUAAUACAUAUAUAUAAUAAUAGUAGUCAGAAAUAAAAAAUAAUAGAAGUAACAAUAAUGAUAGUAAUAAUAUAAAUAAAUAUGGAGAGGGCAUAUAUAAUAUAAUAAUAAUAUAAAUAAUAAUAUAUACAUGAGAAAUAAUAAUAAUAAUAUAAAUAAUAGUAAAAAUAAUAAAUAAAAAAAAUAAAACAAAGCUCUCAACUCUCUUUCUCCCUCUUUUCUAAAUCCGGCAUUUGAUCCGGCUUUGCUUCGGUCAUGGACCCCCACGGGCCGCCAUCGGCGCCACCGUACACGGCAGCCGGACCUCAAAAAAAACCUUUUUCGGUAAUGAAAAUAUGGGUAAGCUUCUUACUUUUAUUAUUACUUUCGUAUAAAAAAACAAAAUAAAAUUGAAAGGAAAACAAUAAACAAACAAAGAACUUAAGAUGAGAAUAGACAAAAGAAACCUCUUUUGCUUUGAUCUUUGAUUAAUCUCCAAAAACUAGCCUUUCCAAAAAAUAAAAAACCACCUUCUAGCAUAGUCUUGAAUGGCUUUUAUAGCCAAAUUUUACAAAUAAAUUUUUUGUAAGCAAGUGGAGUGGUUGGGGUGGUUUAGGUGGCCAAGGUGGGUGGCCAACAAGGGUGGUGGAGUAGGUGGGAUUAGGGUUUUUCUUUUUCUGAUUUUUUUUUGGGUUGGGUUAGUGUUUUGGGCUAAGUUUUGGGUUUGUAUUGGGUUUUAAUUGGGUAGUUGGGUUAUGUUUAUUUAGGCCCAAAAUUGGGCUUGUACAGCUACCCCUCUUUGCUUGUUGUCAUGUAACGAGAACAGAGCAAAGCCUUAAGAAAGACCAAUUUUGCUCGGUUUCACUGUGUCUGGACUUGUUUAGCGCUACUUUUCUCCAGGUAGCUUUAUUCCAAUCUUGUUGCUUCGCUUAGCUUCACUGCUCUACUGCAACUUCAAGAAGGUAAGGUUUGUUUUGAUCUGCUCCACUGCAACUCCAUGGAAAUAAGACACGUGACUUCAAUUAAUUCCACUGAAACUUCAAGGAGAUCUGCUGUAGCUUCGAUUAAUCCACUGAAACUUCAAGGAGAUCUGCUGUGGCUUUUAGCUGCUCCAACGCCAUUUCAGGGAGAAGAUAUUUGAUUUUUAACCUGUUACCCUACUGCUUAGGGGGUUAAGGCUUGUCAUCAUUGAUCUGUUUCCCUACUGCUUAGGUGUUUCAGAUCUUGUAAAAUCAGCCUGUUACCCUACUGCUUAGGGGUUUAAGGCUCAUCGCCUUCGAUCUGUUUCCCUACUGCUUAGGGGGUUAAGAUCUGUAAAUUUAGUCUGUUACCCUACUGCUUAGGGUUUUAAGACUCAUCAUCUUCAAUCUGCUUCCCUACUGCUUAGGGGGUUGAGGUCUGUAAAUUUAGCCUGUUACCCUACUGCUUAGGGGUUUAAGACUCAUCAUCUUCAAUCUGUUUCCCUACUGCUUAGGGGGUUGAGAUCUGUAAAUCUUCAAUCUGCUUCACUGCAACUUCAGGAAGACAAGAUUCGCUGAAUUCGAUCUCUUCCACUGCAACUUCAGGGAGACAAGAUCUGUAAUUUUUAGCCUAUUACCCUACUACUUAGGGGGUUAAGGUCUGUAAAUUUGGCUUGUUACCCUACUACUUAGGGGGCUAAAGCUCAUUAUUUUCGAUCUAUUUCCCUAAUGCUUAGGGUGAUAAGAUCUAUGAACUUCAGCUUGUUACCCUACUGCUUAGAGGGUUAAAGCUCGUUGCCUUCGAUCUAUUCCCCUACUGCUUAUGGGGUAAGAUCUGUGAAUUUACUGAUUCUAGGGACAUGACCUGUAGAAUCAGUUCCAUGUAUUUAUGCUUAUGUCAAAGAAUUAGGAUGUUAUGAUCAAAAUGAAUCAAAUGUUCCUAAUUAGAUGCACUUAUGAAUGAUCUAUGAAUGUAUGAGUGCAGCAUGUUGUAAGCGUGAAUCCCUGUUUAGGUUGCCAUUGCUCUUUAUUCAUCAAGGUUCCUUCACUGAAAUGGUACCCUAUCUUCUUGUUCAGUUCAAAUUUUGAACAGAAAACCCGAAGAGGUAGUCCCAAUUUAAACUCUUUCUUCUCAGAUGCUUCCAAUCUUUGAGUUUGGUUAGUUCUAAAAAAAUAGUCCUGUUUCAGGUUCCUGUACUAUCUAGAAACUUUCAGAGUAAUAUGCAGAACUCUUUUUGCGAAAAUGGCUUUAGUCCAUUAAUCAUCAUUUCAAUGCAAAAUGCUUGAAAAAGAUCAUAGUAAUGAUGGAACUGAAAUUUAUCAGAAACAAAAUUUGAAGGGAAUGGAUUCAUCACGGUCAACAAACAUUGCUGGAAUACAAAAUGAAUAAGAAGGGAAUAGGUGCCCCAGAUAUCGCAACGUGAGCUUCUCUGCACUUGUUUCUUGAGGACUCCUUUUUUUGCCCAAUAUGUGUUUAUGGCAUCUAGAGUACUCUUCCAGAUGCCCCAAGAUGAAACAUCUCUCCUUCUUGUUAAUUUAGGUACCAUAAGACCAUCGUAUGCCCCACCUUCGAUCAAAAUUUGAAUUGCCCUUUACGGGUUUUCAAUUCAAAAUCCAUUUGGUCUCAAGGUGCUCUUCGCGAGUUUUCACCUUGGCCUCUCCCUUUUUUUUUAGGCGAAGUAUUUCUUAACCGAAUCCGAAUUCAUAGGAUUGGAUAAGGUCUUGCCAUCCAUUUCAGCCAAUAUCAAUGCUCCGCCAGAAAAGGCUUUCUUCACCACAUAAGGCCCUUCCCAAUUCGGCAUCCAUUUUCCUCUGAAGUCUUUUUGUAUUGGCAGGAUCUUUUUCAAUACUAGGUCUCCCUUGUGGAACUCUCUGGGACGAACUUUUUUGUUGUAAGCUCGCAUCAUUCGCUUUUGGUACAUCUGACCAUAGCGAAUAGCCCGUAGCCUCUUUUCUUCAAUCAAAUUCAGCUAAUCGUAUCGGGACUGGAUCCAUUCUGCUUCAUCCAUCUUUACUUCUGACAAAACUCUAAGGAAAGGAAUCUCGACCUCGAUAGGUAAAACUGCCUCCAUUCCAUAAACUAAUGAGAAAGGCGUUGCCCCAGUAGAAGUUCUGAUAGACGUUCGAUAAGCAUAGAGGGCGAAUGGUAGCUUUUCAUGCCAAUCUUUAUAAGUUUCUGUCAUCUUUCCUAAAAUCUUCUUGAUGUUCUUAUUGGCUACUUCGACUGCUCCGUUCAUCUUCAGGCGAUACGGUGACGAGUUAUGGUGUUUGAUCUUGAACUGACUGCAGAUAUCCGCUAUCGUGCUGUUGUUCAAAUUCAAUGCGUUGUCAGAUAUGAUCCUUUCCGGCAUUCCAUAUCGACAGAUGAUUUCCUUUUUCAGGAACUUGCUAACUACUAAUUUAGUGACAUUGGCAUAUGAAGCAGCCUCCACCCAUUUGGUGAAAUAAUCGAUGACCACAAAGAUGAAACGAUGCCCAUUUGAAGCUUUUGGCAAAAUUGGCCCAAUCACAUCCAUGCCCCACAUCGAGAAAGGCCAUGGCGAAGUCAUGACAUGCAGAGGUGAGGGAGGUACAUUAAUCUUGUCUCCAUAGAUUUGGCACUUAUGACAUCUUUUGGCGUAGUUAAUACAGUCUCCUUCCAUGGUGGACCAAUAAUAACUGAACCUCAUAAAUUUGCUUGGCCAUUGUAAAACCAUUAGCAUGUGUCCCGCAGACGCCCUUGUGGACUUCUUCCAAGAUUUUCUUAGCCUCAAUGGCGUCUACACAUCUUAAUAGUACCUGAUCCUUCCUUCUUUUGUAUAGGAUCUCCCCAUCUAAGACAUAGUCACUGGCCAGUCUUCUCAACGUUCUCUUGUCGUUCUCAGUAGCUUGGUCGGGGUACUCACAAUUCUUUACAUAUCGUAGGAUAUCGUGGUACCAAGGGCAAUCAUCAUUUUCCUCUUCUUCUUCGAGGUUGUAACAAUGAGUCGGGGCCUCGUAAAUGCUCAUUUGGAUUGGUUUCACAUCCUCUGGUUGGUUCACCUUAAUCAUAGAAGCUAAAGUUGUUAGGGCGUCAGCCGUCUGAUUUUCUUCUCGUGGGAGGUAGUAGAAGACAAUAUUAUCAAACUCUUUAAUUAACUCAAGGAUCAACCUCCGGUAAUUGAUCAAUUUGGGGUCUCUUGUCUCCCAUUCACCUUUGAGUUGAUAAAUCACUAAGGCAGAAUCUCCAUAUACCUCUAACAUCUUGAUUUUACGUUCUAUGGCCGCACGUAUUCCCAUGAUGCAUGCUUCAUAUUCUGCCAUAUUGUUCGUGCAGUCAAAAUCCAAUUUACUAGUGAAGGGAUAAUGAUCUCCGUUUGGGGAUACCAGGACUGCCCCGAUUCCAUUGCCCACGGCAUUCGAUGCUCCGUCAAAGUUUAGCCUCCAAGGAUGACCUUCUUGAGGGUCUUCUUCAGUGGUUGCUACGUACAUUAGAUCUUCAUUUGGGAAGUCAAAGUUUAGAGGCUCGUAGUCCUCUAGGGAUCUGCUGGCUAGGAAAUCUACUAUCGCACUCCCUUUUACGGCCUUCUGGUUCACAUAGACUAUAUCGAAUUCAAAAAGUAAAAUUUGCCAUCGGGCCAUUCUCCCGUUCAAGGCAGUCGACUCCAUCUCGUACUUCAGAGGGUCCAUUUUAGAGAUUAGCCAAGUUGUGUGAUACAACAUGUAUUGUCUCAGUCUUCGGGUUGUCCAGAUCAAGGCACAGCACAACUUUUCAAUGAACGAGUAUCUCGUCUCGCACUCAGUGAACUUUUUAUUGAGGUAAUAUAUCGCCCUUUCUUUCCUUCCCGAUUCAUCGUGUUGGCCAAGCACACAUCCCAUAGAAUUUUCAAAUACCGUCAAAUACAGUAUCAGUGGUUUAUCUGGACUAGGUGGUGUCAAUACUAGGGCAUUAGACAAAUAUUGCUUAACUUUGUCAAAGGUCUUCUGGCAUUCCUCGUCCCAAACACCAGGGUUGUGUUUCUUAAGGAGACGGAAUAUGGGGUCACAUUUCUCGGUUAGUUGUGAAAUAAACCGAGCAAUGUAAUUUAAUCUUCCUAGGAAUCCCCGAACUUCCUUUUGAGUACGCGGCGGAGGUAACUUUUGUAUGGCUUUGACUUUAUCUGGGUCAAUCUCAAUCCCUUUUUCACUGACUACGAAUCCAAGUAGUUUUCUAGACCUGGCCCCUAAGGUACACUUCGCUGGAUUGAGUUUCAGCUGGAAUUUCCUCAACCUAAAAAAUAAUUUCCUCAAGACUUGCACAUGCUCUUCUUCAGUUCGAGAUUUGGCGAUCAUGUCAUCGACAUAGACUUCAAUUUUUUUAUGCAUCAUAUCAUGGAAUAGGGUUACCAUGGCUCUCUGAUAUGUUGCUCCUGCAUUUUUCAAUCCGAACGACAUCACCUUAUAGCAAAAGGUUCCCCACAUAGUCACAAAUGUGGUUUUAUUCAUGUCUUCAGGAUGCAUUUUGAUCUGAUUAUACCCUGAGAAAUCGUCCGUGAAGGAGAAGAGUGAGUAGCCUGCCGUGUUAUCCACUAAAGUGUCAAUAUGAGGCAAUGGAAAAUUAUCCUUCGGGCUGGCUUUGUUCAGAUCCCUGUAGUCCACACACAUCCGUACUUUUCCAUCUUUCUUAGGGACAGGGACAAUAUUGGCUACCCACCCCGAGUACUUAACCACUUGUAGGAAACCAGCAUCAAAUUACUUCUUGACCUCCUCUUUUAUUUUCAACAACACAUCGGGUCUCAUCCUUCGAAGCUUUUGCUGAACUGGCUUGCAUUCUUCUUUGAUGGGGAGUCUGUGUACCACAAUGUCAGUACUUAGCCCAGGCAUAUCCGGAUAUGACCAUGCAAAGACAUCCUUGAACUCUUGGAGUAACUCAAUAAGGUCUCACUUUGUCUCUGUGGUGAUACAAGCUCCGAUCUUUACUUCUCUCCUUUCUAGUUCAUCUCCCAAGUUCACGACUUCUACGGUCUCUUUGUGGGGUAGAAUCUGUUUCUCCUCGUGUUCUACCAUCCUUAACAAAUCAGGGGAUAAGUUAUAGUCCCCGUCAUCCUCAAAGUCUUGGGAUCCCUCCAGACACAUAUCUCGCUCAAAAGGAGAUUCUGAAUUAGUAGCAAUGUCACUCGCGUCAUUGAUAUCUGGAGACCUGUUGUAGGUGUGAAGGAAGAUGCAAAGAACAAGAGAAUCUAAGAACAAUGAUAUGUGUCGUAUGAUCAUGAAUGAAAGAAUAAAAGAAUAUUUGCACGGAAUAAGUCAAAAGGAUGCAUUUCAUUGAAAUAACGAUUUCGAACAUAAGCCUAUUUCACAAAAGGACACUUGUUACUCCUAGGCCUAGAGUAAUAAGUGUGUUUUGGACAUUACUCUGAGUUAGUUCUAAAGACUACAGGAAUCUCUUCCGUAGUCCAAUUAUUCAGAACACUUCUCAGCUCAUAGGGGCGAAUGCCUGAUAAAUUCUCUACCCCCGUCCCUUCUUCAUAUGUGGCGUUGAUGUCCAAACUCUCCAUCAUUCCUUCCAAGAUUUCUUUUCCCGACGUCUUCCACUCGGAGUGAAUGACCCCUCCAGACACAAAAGUCUUCGAUAUAUGGGGGAAGAUCAUUGGUUCCCAUUCGAUUUCUCCCCCGCUCAAUCGCGCUCUCCUUCUUUCUUGCUUCUUCUCAAGUUCCUUCUUUCUUUGUUUCAUGUCAGGCUUAAACCCUAACCCAAAACGGUCUUGUUUGUCCUUCAACAUUGGUACAUUAAUCCUUCCCUGGAGGUAUCUCCCGAGUCCUCUUCCGGGUAGAGCCCCUUUUCCAAUAGUUAGCCGUAGUCCCAUUCUUGUAGUCUCAGAUAACUUGGGCAUUGGAAUAUUAUUUCCUUCGAUGAUGAACGUCACGUUCACAAACUCCAAAGAUCGAGAAGAGCACUCGAUUGCUUCAUCAUUUGCCUCUAGAUAUGGAGCAUCACUGGUUAUUGCCGCGAUGAUGUCCUCUUCAACAUUGAUUGUUACUAACCGACCUUCGGUCACUAAUUUCAACUUUUGAUGCAGCGAUGAAAGGACUGCCCCCGCCGAGUGUAUCAACGGUCUCCCCAAUAGGCAAUUAUACGAAGGCUUAAUGUCCAUGACCAAGAAAUCUACCUCGUAUGUGCUCGGCCCGAUUAAGAGGGGUACUUCAACUCUCCCCAUUACCUUCCUUUCCAUGCCAUCAAAUGCUCUCACUACAUUUUGGCAUGUCUUCAUAUGGGAACUAUCCACUGGCAACCUACUCAGCGUAGAUAGGGGUAGGACAUUCAGUGCAGACCCAUUGUCAAUCAAUACCCCCGGUAACGUGUACCCUUUACAGCGAGUCGUGAUGUGCAAAGCUUUAGUUGAUCCUCGGCCCCCUGGCGGUACCUCAUCGUCAUUGAAGAAUAUGAUGUUGUCGGCACUUAUAUUGUUGACUAAGCGGUCUAGUUUGUUUACAGAGAUAUCGUUAGCAACAUAAGUUUCAUUCAGCACCUUCAUCAAUGCGUUGUGAUGGGUUUCGGAACUUAAAAGUAAGGCCAGUACCGAUAUACGCGUUGGUUGUUUGUGCAACUGUUCUAUGACACUAUAUUCGCUGUGCUUUAGGAAUUUUAAGAAUUUCUUGGCUUCUUUUUCCAUCACUGAUUCAUUAACAGUUGGUUCAAGCCCCGCCGGCUUCUCUUUCUUUUGCUCAAUUGGUAAUGAUUUUUCUUUAACCUGCUCGACUUUUGUAUUUGGGGUAUAACGCCUUCCGCUGCGUGUAUAAAUACCUUCGUCUUAAACUUCUUCUGAUGCAUUAAUCGGGGUCUCCUCUCUCGGGAAUGUCACAUUGCAGCUAUAGUUCCACGGUACCCUUUUGCUAUCUUUAUAAGGAAAAGCAACAGGCUUUUGAAUCACGACAUUUGGCGCAAUUCGUGCCCCAGCUUCAUUCAUUCUCGGACGUGAUAUGAUAACCACUGGGUGGUUGACUUUGUAAACAUCCUUCGUCGACCCCUCUUCGGAGGCACACACAUCUGCUUCUUCUAGGCUCCCGACAUAUUCGAAGAAUUCCAGCUCCUUAUUAUCCAUCAAUCCUUGUUCUAAAGCCCUGAAUUGGCUACAUUUCUGAAUCUCAUGAUCCUCUUGAUCGUGGAACUCACAAUAAUUCUUCACUUCUCGAGGUCUGACCCUUGAAUUCUGUGCUAUCAACCCUCUUUCCACUAUUUUCUUCCAAACUUCCUCCAAUGGGGUAUUCACUUCUGCAAUAUUCAUCUUAAUUUCUUUCCCCGAACUCUCAAUUAUCGCAUUUAUUCCCUUAUCCCCAUGGUUAGGUAAUGGGUUCUCUGUAUUGGAUGCAUCAUCAAAUUUCACAAUCCCCAUGUUGAUGACUCUUUCAACCAAUUUCUUAAAAGUGGUGCAGUUUUCUAUCGAGUGUCCUGUGGCUCCCGCAUGGUAUUCGCAUUGGGCAUUUGCAUCAUACCAUUUGGGGUAUGGAGGUUGCAUUGGCUUUAGAUAGAAGGGAGACAUGACAUGUGCAUCAAAUAAACUCUGGUAUAACUCCUUGUACGUCAUUGGAAUGUGCGUAAUUGAAGUUUCUCCCUAUUUUAUUUUGUGUUGGGCUCUUGUCUGGGUGGGCCCUGCUGUCCAGUAGUUGUCGACCUUGGUUGGCUUACGGUGAUCGAUUUCGAAUAUGAGCUCACAUUAUUCACCUCAUGCUUUUUCUUUCUCGGCGCUAGCCUCUUAGCGUUUUCCCCAGCCUCUAUUUUCCCACAUCUUAUGGCAUUUUCUAUCAUUUCUCCAGACAUUACUAUGUCCGAAAAACUCUUGGUUGCGCUACCCAGCAUGUGGUUAAUAAAAGGUGCCUUCAGGGUAUUGAUGAAGAGCAUAGUGGUUUCUUUUUCCAACAGAAGGGGUUGGACCUGUGUGGCCACCUCUCUCCAUCGCUGGGCAUACUGCCUAAAGCUCUAUUAUGCUUUUUCUCCAUAUUCUGUAAAGUGAUUCUAUCAGGGGCUAUGUCCGCCACAUGACCGUACUGCUUCAUGAAGGCUUGUGCUAAAUCAUUCCAUGAACUGAUCUAGGCGCGACUCAGUUGGUUGUACCAUCUAGAAGCGGCCCCAACCAGACUUUCUUGGAAGCAGUGAAUUAAUAGUUGGUCAUUAUUGACAUGGCCUGCCAUUUGUCUGCAGAACAUAGUGAUGUGAGCUUCAGGGCAGCUAGUCCCGUUGUAUUUCUCAAAUUCCGGAGUUUUGAACUUGGGAGGGAUUAUCAAGUCCGGAACCAAACUUAAUUCCUUAGCAUCGAUUCCACCACGAUAGUCGGUGCUUUCCAUUUCUUUAAAUUUUUCUUCCAACCAUCUACACCUUUCUUCAAGCUCUCUCAGGAGUUCUACCAUUGUUUUUUCUGCUUCUGUUACUUCAUCGAGAUUGAGGACCACAGGAUUGGUCGGGUUAUCCCCCGGAUUAGAGACUGAGCUGGCCUGAUAAUUUAUCAGUGCCGAAACACCAGCCUGAAAUGGUUGGGGCCUAAUUGUGACCGAUGGCCUUCUUGGGUAUAUAUCAGGUUGUAUCUGAACGUCCGCUGGGGCAAAACCCGGAGGGUAGGUAGGAUCUUCAUUAUCUUCUCCCGCAUUGAUCAAAGGGCUUUUCCCUUUUUCUAAUCCGCCAGCCAAUAGACGAGUUAAUUGGUCCAUCAUGCUUUUCUGGGACUCCAACAUAUGGUCCCUCAUAUCUUGCUGUAUCUUAGCCAGUUGCUCUUGCAUCUGCACUUGUAAUUGUUCUUGCAUCUCCCUUUGCAUUUGUUCUAUCAUUUCUAAUCUCUAGUCCAUUGCUUUGGUUUUACGGCGGGUAUAGUGGCUGUGUUCGGUUGCUUGAUUCUCGUUGGUUUUCAGAUUAACUGAAAUAAUUUUCUUUAAUCAGGGUUCUUUAGAGAAAGUUUAAUGCAAAUGUUGCAAUGUAAUGCAAAUGUAUGGAAUGAAUGCAAAAGAAAGGAAGAUGUUGAUCUUGAAUUCAAUUCCAUUAGAAUAACUUUUCUAGAAAACAUAUUUCUUUACAUGAAAAUAGAUUACAUAUGUGGUAUUGCCCUUCAUAGUCCAAGUAAAUGCUGAUCUUUUCUUCAUGGUCGAAUCCUGUAAAUUCUCUAAAAGAUGCCUUUACUAGUUCCUUGCUGCUUAAUCUGAGCCUCGAUCUCUUGCUCGCUUAUCUCCAUGAUACUCAUCAAAAGUGUCGGCUCUUGGAUAAUCUUCGUUGGCAAUUAAAUCAAGUCAUGUAUUCCUUCGUGGACUUCCGGCUUUCUCUCGUCAUGCCUUUUUUGGCUUGAAUCUCUAGCAAUUACAUCAUGUAUUCCUCCGUGAACCACCAGCUUUCUCUCAUCGUGUUUACUUGGACUAUAUUCAGGCGAUCGCACUAUAAUAUACUUUAUCAAGAAAUUCGUUUCCUUAUGACAAACUAUUCUAUUUAGGAAUUGAAUUUCGAAUCAACACAUUCUUUUCUUUGAUGUAAUGUGAUGCAAAUGCAUGAACGCAAAAAAAAAGGAAGGCAUUGAUUCUAAAUUUAAUUUCAUUAGAACAACUUUUCUAAAAAGCAAAUUCUUUUACAUAAAACGGACUACAUAUACGGCUUUUCUCUUGUAUUCCAAGUGAAGACACCUAUCUUCCUCUUCAUAUCUGGAUCUUAUGGUCGAGUUUGACGAAUUCUCCAAGAGAUGUCUAUAUUAACUCCUUUUUUGCUCGAUCCAGGCUGCGACUCGUUGCUCACUUAUUACUGUGAUACUUGUCAGCUCCUUUAAGAAGGUCAAGAUGUGACGGCUCUCGAAUAAUCUUUGUCAGUUUCUGUCUUCAGGCAAUGAAACGAAGUCUUGUAUUUCUUCACGGGCUAUCAGUCUUUUUUCAUGUGUUCACUUGGAUCAUAUUUAGACAACCGUAUUAUAAUCCACUUUAUCAAAAAAUUCGUUUUCUUAUGACAAACUGUUCUAUUUAGCAAUCAAAUAUGAAUCAACACCUCCUUCAUAGGAUGAUGUAAUGUAAUGCAAUUAUAAAAAAAAACAAAAAAUAAAACACAUUAGUGCAAGAUAAAUAAAUAACAAAUAAAGCAAUUCGGGUGACCACUAGGGGUUCGGAGUGGCUCUACCUACGGUGGGCUCCUAGGUCUCUCUAUAUGUGGUUUGGUUCUAGAGUAAGGGUACCUGAACCAGCAGAUUCCUCAAUCCUCACCCAUUAUAGGCUCAUUUGAAUCGAGUUCAAUUCAGGAGAAUACAUUUCUCUAUGGCGACACGGAGAUGAAAAUCUCACGAAACCAUAGGUACGGAUGUAUUCUGAAAGUAAUCCACUAUCCUGUACGGAGGUGAAAACCUCACGAAGGCGUAGUUUCUCACUCCCACUUAAGGGUGUGACCACAACGAUCAUGCAAUGCAAUGCGAGAAGAUAUAUGCAUAAAAACUUGAAACGAUUAAAGAAAAUAGGAAUAAAAUGAUGAAAACAGUACGAAAAACGGGUGAAACGCAAUAAAGAGAUCGUAUAUCAAAACCAAAUUCUCAAUUUUCAAAAAAAGACAAAAGUUAAUCAACUUGUGGCUUGACUCUCUUAUAAAACUCCCCAGUGGAGUCGCCAAGCUGUCGUAACCAUUUUUUUGAAAAAACGGGUAUCGACUUGGAGAAAAAAACAAAAACAGGAGUCGCCACCAAUCUUUUUAAGUGUGAUUGGAUCACCUUAAAUUAAUCAUUUUAAUAAAAGUUAAGAUUUACUAAAACGAUAAUUUUUGGUCUACGAAAAUCAGAAAAUGAGUUCGGGAGUCGGUUACGCACAAGGAAGGAUUAGCACCCUCGAUACGCCCAAAAUUGGUACCUAGUUGAUUAAUUAGUGUCUUAGUGUCGAAAAUUUGAAAACUUGAAAGAAUUUAAAAUACGAUCCCUCUUUGUAAAGAAAAUGCUCAAAUGUUAAGGACCUUCUCGUCUCACAAUAUAAAAUGUCACAUCCAGUAAGUUAGGACACGACAUCUUGAAUUUUCGAGAGUGAGCUUACCUUUUAUAUAAAAAUUCGUGUAUUUCAAAAGGUUAUUCAGUUAGUUAAGGUGAACGAGGAAAAUCGAAAUCCAGUAAGUUAGGGCACGUUUCCUCGAAUUCCCGAACACCAAAUAUUGCCUUUACUUGCAAAAAUCUUAUUUCGAGGUAACAAAAUGCCAUACCCAGUAAGUUAGGGCACAACACCUCGUAUCUCCGAGAAUAAGCAUUUUUCAAAACUCAUGUCGCGAUUUAAAAGAGUAUUCCGUUAUUUAGGUUAAAGGAGAAAAAUCGAAACCCAGUAAGUUAGGGCACGAUUGUCUCGAAUUACCAAAUACGGAAUAUUACUUUUAUGAAAGAAUUAUUAUUGGGUUGGAUAUAAUGAUAAUAAGAAUAAUAUUAAAGUAAAGUAAAUAAUAAUACUAUAUAUAAAUAUAUAUAUGUAUAUAAUAGAAAUACACACUACUAUAUAAUAAUAAUAAAUAUAGAAAUACAAAAAGCAAAUAUAAUAAAAAUAUUAAAUUAAAGUAAUAAAAAACAAUACUAUAUAUAAAUAUAUAUAUACAUAAAAAUAUACACUAAUAUAUAAUAAUAGUAAUAGCAAAAAUAAUGAAAAUAUGAGUAAUAUUAAUAAUAUAUUAAAAUACAAAAGUAAAGUAAUAACAAUAGAGGUGAUAAUAAUAAUAAUAAUAAUAAUAAUACAAACAAUAAUACUAUAUAUAAAUGAGUGUAUAAUAAUAAUUUCAUUUCAUUAAAAUUUGAUAAUAUAGAAAGAAAAUUUUAGUGUCUAAAAACCUUAAUUUUUAGAAUCAUCUUAAUAUAAAUUAUUCCAUUUCUUAAAAAUGUACCAUAAUCUACUAACUAAUAAUAUAUUCGAUCCUAUCAUUUGCCUCUUUGUCCAUCAAACAGCAAAGACUUGAUCAUUCUUUUGUGAUAAUUGCUCCAGAACUACUAAAUCUUUAAAAAUCUUGAAGAUUAGGCAAAAUUAUUAUAAAUAGUAGUGAUAUAAAUAUAAAUAAAUGUAAAUCGAUCCACCGACUUGAUUUAGUGUUGUUUAUAAACAAAAAAUCGAAAAAAGAUUUUGGUGGGUGAUGUUUGGAUACUCUCUAAGACAUUGAUUGCAAAUCAAAUCUCAAUUCCAAUUAAAGUAUAUACCACUUUGUGAAAUUGAUUAAUUUAAUCAUAUUGUCUUCACAGUCACGAUCGUACUCAGAUUAUGUUAAGCUUAGCCAUCGUCCUGUCUUCAAGUAAAGCCGCAAAAAUAAUUAAAAUAAAUUUUCAAAGGUCAAAAGCUCUCCUAUAAUUUAUGUGGGGCCAAAAUAAAUUAAGAGUUGCUGAAUGACAUUUGAUAAUACCAAUAGUAGAUUGCUAUCGAGGUGAUUAAAAAUUUGUUCUAUUUGAAUUGAUAAUUUAAUUUUAAAAAAAAAUUGAACCUAGUUAACUUUUUAUUGAAAAUAUUUUUGGUCUAUGGAAACCAGAUUAGAUUCGUAUGAAUCAAUUAAACACUUGGAAUGUAGAAAUUUAAUAGAGAUGGUGUUGCUGAUUUUAGAGAGCAUAUUUUCAAUUGAUUGUGCUUUGAUUGUUAUUAAUGUAAUAGCUAUUUUCAAGGAAUUAUUUUGUAUUCACGUAAAUUCUAUGUUAGCAAGUCGAAAAUUAAUAUAUGCUUUAAGGCAUGUAUAGGUUUUGUAUAAGAGCUUAUUGAGUUAUUCUAAUUUGUUCAUUUGAGGGACUGUUUCUUCAGAGAGCGCAAACUACAUUGUAAACAAUGUUGAGUGAUUAUUGCCCAAGUUCUGAAGGGGAGAAUUUGAGGUAGGUGUUUUAUUCUCUAAGUACAAAAGUGAGAUCUCUAUAAUUGAGAAGUGUGAUAAAGUGAAAAUCACUUGUUGUAUCCGUGAUUAAAAAUAGUGGAAUUACUCAUUGAAUUAGACUCCGUAGAAAUAGGGAAAAUGAAAAUCUCUGCGUUAUUUUUGUUUUGUUUGGAAAGGCCUUGAACGUUGUUCCGAUAUCAUGGAGAUGUUAUUGAUGCAUUCAUUCCAUGGAGAUGUUAUUGAUGCAUUCAUUCCAGCAAACAAAAGUAAGGGUGGAAGAAAGUUUGGAUGCGUGAGGUUUGACAAAAUAAUGGAUGCACAAAGGGUUAUCAACAGGUUAAACGAUUUUGUGAUUUUAGGGAAUAGGAUAUCGAUAUAUUUGGCAAGAUUCAAAGGAAGGAGACAAGUACGGAGAAAAAUACCAAUUAAUGAGGAUUCAAAAUAGAAUAUGGAAAAUCAUAAAGAAGGGAUAGUAAGUGGGAAGAAAGAGAUAGAUAUCAAAUUGAUUGUGGGAGAAACAUCUAAUAGCAGUGGGACUAUCUGAGUUUUAAAGAAGUUAUGGAUGGUAAGAGGAAAAAUCAAAUUAAACUAAUCAAGGGACAUGUAGACGAUGAACAACUAUGGAAACUUUAGAAAUGCCUAGUUGGAGAAACUGUUACGUUUUGCGAAAUGAAGAGUCUUCCUGAAAGAAUUGUUUGAACUGGAUUGGGUAAGAUCAUAAUCAGAAGGAUCUAUGGAAGACAUUUCUUGAUCGAAAUACCAGAUGAUGAAUUACUCGGUAUUUUAAAAUAGAACUAUUGGACAUAUCUGAAAGAAUUUUUUGUCAAAAAAGAACCAUGGUCGGAGAAAACUAUAUCGAUAGAAAGUGUGACAUGGAUUAAACUAUCAGGGUUGCCUUUGCAUUGCUAGAACUAUACAUCUUUCAAAACAAUAGUAGGAUUGUAGGGAAAGUUAGUGCCUUUUGGUAAGAAUACGACGAAGGUGAAUAGUUUCGACAAAAUGACGAGGCUGGUAUCAAUCAAACAACCAUAAUCGAUCGAUGAACUGAUCUUUCUAGAGGUUGGGGAGGUGAGAUUUUCGGUUAGAGUUAAGGAAGUAGGAUUGUCAGAAUCGUUUGACAAUAUCAGUGGGAAAAAUAGAGUGAAGGCAAGUGAAGGAUUGGAAUCAAUACAGGAGAAUGAUGAUGAGAUUGUGUCUGAGUCGAGAUUGGCGACAAGAACGGGGCUAGAAAAAACAUCGGAGGAGAGACAAAUACGGGAUGAUAAAGUAAUUGAUGUCAUCUUCCUUGUAAAAGAAAACGAUAAUGGUGGCUGUUAGAGAACUUGGGAAAAUGAACCAAAUUGGGGAGUAGAACUGUUGUGUGGGUUUAAGGUUGGUACCAAUUUUGAGGAGGAGAAUUAUAAUUGUUGUAGUGAACGGGCUAGAGAAGAUGUUAACAAUAUGGGCUUGGUUGCUAUUAAAUAAAACAUGUAAGAUAAGGUUGGGGGCUAGGAAAAACAAAAGGGAGAUGGGGUGUUUAUGGGUCUGGAGAUACAAAAAGCCCAAACAUUGAGACCACAAGGGAGUCCAAAAUCAAAUAUUUUGGACGAUCAAUUAGAGAGAAUAGAGUUGGGAGGAGAGGGCAAGGAAGAUAGGCCAAUAUAGAUGUAGAUUCGGAAAAUCAAAAAAGGAAUAAGAAAAAAGCAGGGUAGAAAAAUACAUUCCAUACUUGAAAUUCAAGAUCGUUUCCUUUCAGUAAUGGAGAAAAAAAAAAGAGAGAUCGGGCGUUGAGGAGAGAAACAGGGAAAGGAAUAUUGGCUUGAGAUGAGACUACUGUAAAUGCUUCUCUUUUUUAUUAUGAUAUAAGCAAUAGAAGGAAAUUGAUCCUCAGGGAAGCAAAAAAAGCUUAACCUGUUGGAAAAAGGUUGGGAUUUAGCAUAAAAGGGGACGAGCUUGAAGUAAUAAAUGAAAUAAUAAGGUUAGAGGGGGACUGUAGAGUUGUGGAGCAGAAGGAAUUCGGGGAUCGGCCAUAACUGAAAUAGGUAUGGUUUUUUAUUACUUGGAUUAUCUUUGUCAUUUUUCAAUUGCAUUUUUGUUUUGUGAGUUGGUAUGAGGAUUGUGUAGUGGAAUAUUAAAGGUAUGGGCUCAGAAGCUAAGAUAUUAUCUGUUAAAAGAGUCAUAUCAACGCAAGGGUGAUUAGCUGUUUUAUUUAAGAAACUAAGUUAGAAACAAUCACUAUUGACAUAACAAGGAAAAUAUGGUGUGACGAUAUUUUGGAUUAUAGAUUUUCGGAAACUAUUGGGUGUUCAGGAGGUGUGGUUAAGAUUUGGGAUAGAGGUGGUGUUCAAGUGGAUAAAGAUCUUUGUGAUGAAAGGUUUGUAUUAGUAAAAAGGAAAUGGUCGGUUGCAGGCAUGGAAGCAACCCUAAGUAAUGUUUAUGUCCAUAAUGCAAUUUUUGUUCAAAAGAUAUUAUGGAUGAAUCUUUUAACCUUAAAGAACUUGUUUUCUUGUCUUCGGAGUAUUCGUGGUGAUUACAAUACAGUGAAAAAUAGAAGUGAAAGAAGCAAUUGUGUGAGUUUAAAGAAAGGUAAAAACGAAUUUAAUAACUCCAUCGACAACUGCAAAAUGGUGGAUUUAACUUUGACGAGGAAAAAAUUUUCUUGGUACGAACCUAAUAAUAAGAGGAGCAGAUUGGAUCAAUUUUUAUUGGAAGAGCAUUGACUUUUACGUUUCAAUGACUUCUGACAGCAGGGAUUAAGUAUAUCUAUUUCUAACCAUCUCUUGGUCUUGUUAUUGAAUGAAUUAGUAGAUUGGUGACAACAUCCGUUAUUAAUGCGUGGCUCACAAAAAGGAUUGUUCAAGCCUUAUCAACAAAGUAUAGGGAGAGAUGGGAAUAUCGAAUAUGUGGAUGUCUGGAAAGUUGAGGAAAUUGAGGGUCGCUCUCAAAAAGUGGAAUGAAAAUUUCGGAAGUAAACUAGUUUAAAGGACCGAAGUAAUUGGAAAAUAAGAUAAUGGAAUUGAAUGAAAUCAAUGAUUGAGGAGAUUUAAAUGAAUCAGAAAUGGAUGAGCUUAGACGAUUGAAUAUUGAAUUGUGGGUAGCAAUUAAAUGUCGUGAACCGAUUUGGUGUCAAAAAUAAGAAUUAUUUUGUUAGGUGAAGGUGAUUCCAAUUUUGUUUCUUUCAUAAAGUAGUAAAAAUUAGAUCGAAGGAAAAGAUAGUGCAUGGCUUAAAAUUUGAGAAUUCAUGGUGCAAUGAUACAAAGUUUUUGAAGGAAAAAAUGUUCAAUUCGUUCAGUAAUUACUUUAACAGCUCAUCGAGAAAAUGGUUAGUGGAUAUGGCUUUGAACUUUAAGAAGAUUUUCGAGGAAGAUGCAGCGAAACUAAAGUUAUCUUUCACGUUGAAAGGGAUUAAGGAAGCAUUAUGGAGUUGUGACACCAAUUCAUUAGUGUUAAUUUCACAUUAGUUUAUACAAAUGGUAAUGGUAUGGCUACAAUGUUGGCUAUUGCUGGGGUGAGAAGAUCAACGUUAGUUAAAGCUUGAUGGUGAUCUAUUCUUGAUUAUUUUUUAGUUGUUUGUUUAGAUGUUGGACUUUUUGUUUCCUUGUUCAAUUGGGUGUUUUUUUUAUUUUUGACAAGGAAUGAGGUUGGUGUUACCUAAUGUCUUUCUAUUAUUAAUAUAUGCAUAUCGAUUGAGCAAAAAAAGUUAUCUACUACUUUAUUACGGUGUCAACUUAUAUGAUCAUUCCAAAACUAAUAAUUAAUAUUCCAAAACUUUUUAUGCACACAUUUUAACUUAAAUAUUAGGGUUAAUUGCACUAAACAUGGACAAACUGUGAUCAUGAUUUCAAAGCAAUCCUUAAACUUUAAAAUAUUCUAAUUGCAUUCUCAAACUUUUGGUGUUGUAUUUAUUAGUUCCUUACAUCAACGAAACUUUUCACUUAACUGUUAAACACCAUGUCAUAUAUGAUGUGGAUAAAAUCAUAAUAAGAUGCGAAUAAUUUUUUAGGCAUUUAUGCUAACGUGGAAAAUUAACAAUUAAAAUAAAGUUAAAAAAGGGGUCAUAUAUACCUAAAUUAAACAAUAAUAAAAAUAAAAAAAUUAUAUUAAAACAAAAAGUAGAGAACCCUCAAUUAAACAGAAAAUUCUUUAUUUAUUAUUUAAAAAAAUUACUAUGUAAAUGUGCAAAUAUUUUAGUUUUAUUUAUUGUUUUUUCAAUUGUUCCUUUUGAGUUGUUUUAGGAUGGUUUGCUCAGCUUCUCGAAUGAGAAGGCACUUGUAGUGUUGUGAUAACUCAGAACAUGAUUAAGUCCUUAGGUGAGCCAUGCAGCUUCUGUUGAAUUCACAGAAUCUUUAGAAAGAAAGUAGAAUAGAAGAAAAAGAAGAAGAAGAAGAAGAAGAAGAAGAGGGAGGGAAGGAGGGAGGAAAUAGAAUCUGUAAUAAUUGUCAGUUGGAAAAACCAAUAAUUUUCCCCUCUAUUUAUAACAGAAUUCUAGUAGUUUAGUUGGUAUAAAAGACUAACACAAAACAAAUUGUUUCAUUAAAGUCCCAUUAUAUUUCCCCAUAUGACAUUGUUUUAUUUUAAUACACAACAAUUUCUCCCUACUAAUGAAAUUCUUGUCCUCAAGGAUCAAAAUAAGGGAAUUGUUGUUUCAAGUCAUGCAAGACCUCCCAUGUAUGCAUAUUUAAGGAAUGAGUUAGUCCAUUGCACCAAAAUAUCUUUCACAACUCGGUUUCCAUGAUUGGCCGUCCUUUUUUCUCUCAUUUGGUAGGUAGCUAUUUUACAAUUGCUCCAUAAGAUCCAAUGAUUAGCAACUCAGCAUGACAUUCUUCCUUUACCACAUGUUUCUUUAACUUUUAAACAUGAAAAGUGGAGCGCACCUUGGACCCAGGUGGCAGUUGCAACUAAUAAGUAACUUUCCCCACUCCAACCAACACAAGAAAUGGACCAAAGAACUUGGGAGAAAGUUUUUGGUUACCCCUUAUCUUGAUUGAAUGUUGUUUGUAUUGUUGUAAAUUUAAGUACACCAUAUCCUCAACUAAAAACUCCCUUUCACUCAUUUUUUAUAAGCCAUAUGCUUUAUUCUGUCCCUGGACCUGUGCAAGUAGAAUUUCAAUAUUUUUAAGGUCACCUCACGAUGUUGCAAACUUAUAUCCACUAUUGCUACCAAAGAAGAACCUACCAAAUAGGGAACAUGCAAUGGAGGUGGUUGUAAAUGCAAAACUUCAAAUAGAUAGGUGUGAAUUGCAAUAUGAUAACAUGUAUUGUACCACCAUUUAGCAAGAAGGAGCCAACUGUACCAAUCACCUGGCCUCUUUCCUAAUCAUACACCUAAGCUAUCCUUCCAAACAUCUAUUGAGCACCUCAAUUAGCCCAUUUGUCUGAGGAUAAUUGGUUGUAGACAACUUGUGCUUAGUUCCUAAUCUCUUAAACAACUCUUGCCUGAAAGUAAUGAUGAAAAUCUUGUCUCUAUAAAAACAAUUGAAUCAAGUACCCCAUGUAAUUUAUACACUUAAUUCAAAUACUAUUGUUUCAUAAUCAAGGUGGUGUGGGGAUAGACCAACCCAAAAAAUGGUCUUAUUUGGUUAAUUUGUCUCCCACAAGUAUGAAACUCUUACCCUUUGAAAUAAGAAGACCAUCAAUGAAAUUUAAGCUUACUUCUGCCCAUGCUCUACCUAGCACAAGCAAAGGCUGUAGCAAACAUGGAAAGGCUGCAUUAUCAACUUUGCCUAUCUGACAUACCACACAUUCAGCCACCCAUCUCUUAACGUGUCUACUAAUUCCUUUCCAAUAUAAAAUACCAGACAUCCUACUCCUAGUAGCAUCCUAAAGCACUAUUCUGGAAGUAGUCAAAUAGGUCUUUCUUUAAAUCCCCAUCUUUUCCAAGUACCAACUUCCCUUUUUCUCUUUAAGCAUUGCCAUCCUAUGAAUACUUAGGAUGAGAAGUAUCAUUGAAUCCUACAUCAAAAAUUAUCUUCUACAACUUGCUAUAUGUUUGCCAAUACCCUUGAAUCCUUGGAACUAAAAUAGAAAUAAUUAAAAUUCCAAUCAGUUGAGAGAAUUAAGCCCUAGCCAUAGUUUUCCCAUCCACCAAAUAGGAUUCCUAGACAAUAAAUCAGUAGUUAUAUUAGUGGCACCCUUCCUACAACAUAUCUCAUAGUCAUUCCUUAACAUCUUGGCUACCUUUUUAUAUUGAAAUGGCAUGAUAGCCUAAUUGUUUAAAAGUAAUCUUAAACUCUGAUGAUUUGUACAAAUUGUAAAAUGUAUGCCAAUAAAGUAAAACUCCAUUUCUUUACAGCCAUGAGCACAACUAGCAUCUUCUUGUCAUAAAUGGAUAAAGCUUGGUGCCUUGGCCCCAAAGUUUUACUAAAAUAGGCUAAGGGUUGCCCCUUCUAUUGUAACACGACUUUACCUACAAGCUAAAAGCCAAUCUCAACUAUGAACUCACAAUUGAAGUUUGGAAAGGCUAGUAUAGGUGUUGAACAGAAAGCCAUUUUAAGCUGUUGAAAGGUCCCCUCAGCUAUCUCACCCUAUUACUAUUGGUUCUUUUUCAAAAGAAUCAAUUAAAGGUUUUUCCAAACUGCUAUAGUCCAUCAAAAAACUUUUAUAAUAGCUAGACAACCCCCAAAAAUCCUUUCAGAUCCUUAAUAGAUUGAGGAGCUGGCCAAUCUAGCACACAAUACAUCUUGGACUUGUCCAUAGCAACUUCUUCUUUAAAAAAUAAUGUAGCUUAAGUACUCAACUUCCCUAGCUCCAAAGCUACAUUUAUUCUUCUUAGCAUAAAACUUAUGCUUCCUCAAUAGCUACAAGACUUUCAUCAAAUACUUCAAAUAACUAAACCCAUCCUUUGAAUAUAUUAAUAUAUCAUCAAAAAAGACACUAUCACAAAUUUCUACAGUCAAGGCCUAAAAACUGGAUUUAUCAAGGCUUGAAAAUUGAAAGGGGCACUGGUGAGCCUAAAGGGCAUCACCAAUAACUCAUAGUGGCCCUCAUGAUUUUUUAAAGGAAUUUUGUGGAUGCUUUCUUCCUUUAUUCUGAUAUGAUGAUAGCCAUAUCUCAGGUCCAAUUUAGAAAGAUAGGCAACCAGUCUAAACUUAUCUAACAACUCUUCUGUUAUUGGAAUGGGAAACUUGACCUUCGCAAUGAGUUGAUUCAACUAUCUUUUUUAACCAUCAUAAUUAAAUAUGCAAAUGAAUUAUUAUUGGCUCUAAUUAUCCCCGUAGAUGAUAUCUCAUUAAUCAAUUUCUCAAUCUCAUCCUUUUGAAUUAUGGGGUGCCUAUAUGGUCUCACCUUAACCACUUUUGUCUCAUCCUUAAGGGAUAUCUUACGAUCUUGUGACCUUAAUGGGGGAAACUUAGAAGCCUCUUGAAAUGCAUAAUUGAAUUCCUACAACAAGGUCUAUAAUUCCUAAUGAACUUCAUAUUUCUUCACCACUAAUUUUUAUUGUGCUUGAGCAGCCAUAAGAUAAGCCCUGAACUUAAUUGUCCCUUAAAUCCCACCAUAGAUAAGGAUUUAGAACUCAAUUUGGCAUCCAUCAACUGAAUCGCACCUAGCACAAUGCCCUUUAGCACACAAGGCUGAUGCUCAUACAUAAAUUGCAUGGACAAGUAAGCAAAAUUCCAAAUAAUAAGGCCAAGUUCCACUAACCACUGUAUAACCAAGACCACAUCACAUCCUUUGAAGGGUAGGAUCAUGAAAUCAGUCGCAAAUUUUAGACAUUGAGUUUCCCAUUAUACAUUCUUACAUUUUCCCUUGGUGAAUUCAAAACCUCCAUCGACCACUACCACUCUUAAAUUGUACUAUCUCCAUAUAGGCACACCUAACAUCUUAACAACCUCCACAAUCAAUAAAUUAUGAAUACUACUAAAAUAACCAAUACCACCACCUAUUGACUUCCAAAAUAAGAUCUUAUCCAUAUUGUCACUCCCUCAUUAGACUUUUACAUUACAUGAAGAGAUAAAGUGAGAAGAGUUCGGUCACUAUCUUGUGUUUGAACUAGAUUCUCACAAUCCAAAAAUUUAUCCUCCCCCUGACCUUCAACCUCAUCUAACAAGAUUUGGUAUAACUGAGAUAUAGUACAUCUAUGCCCUAGAAAAGACUUAGCUCCUCACCAAUAAUAAAGCUCUUCUUUUUCCUACCUUCUAUUUCGAUAGGAGAAAGGUGUUGGAAAAAUCUGGUUUAGAAAAAGGUUUUAUAUCAUAGCGGAAAAUUAAAAUUUGAAAAUUGAAUCCUUUUUAUAUUUAUAGUAAUAACCUAUUUCUCGAAAAAUACUUGUACUUUUUGUGAGACGGAUUCUCGACCUUCUUGACUUUCAACUAAACGAUCUUCUCCAUUAUUCUUGCACCACAAAUUGCUUUGAGUCUGGGCUUGGACAAUCACAAACCAAGCACAUAACCUGAAAUGAUUUAUUACUUUCAAUAGAAAAGUAAUUCACUCUCAAUAGAAACGAAUAGAAUUCUAGUUCUCAAAAAAUAGAACUUAUUCUUAAAAAAUAAAUUCUCACUACUUUCUGGCAAAAUAAUAAUAUUUGAAACUUCCUCUUCUAUUAAUAGCACUACUAGUGUUAUCUAUUUAUAGAGAGAGAUAGAAGAAUCCUAGUUGAAUUAGUAAAACACAAAUAAUAUUUAUUUAAUAAGAAACAAUAUUAUACAAGUAAAAUAGGAUGGAUGACACACCUUUGUAAAACUACAAGGUUUUCUGCCCCUCUCAUGUAUGAGAGUAUUUGGACCUCUCCAAUUAUAUGUGAUUCCUGAACUUUUAAUCCAACACUUUAUACUUUAACCCAACCACAAUACAUGUUUUCUAUUUCCUAAAAUAAAUAUUAUUUCUGAUUAAAUAAUUUUCUCAAUUCAAUUCUAAUUUCAUAAAAGUCAUGAUAGUUUUAUCGUAAAAGAAUCUAUGAAGAAAUAUAUUAAAUUUUCAUAUUCAAUGGAGUCACAAUUACUAAUUAAUUUAAUUCCAUUUUUGAACUUCAAUUAAUUAAUUAAUAAUUCUAAAACCUUCAAUUAAUUACCAUUUCAUUUCUAUACUCAGUGAGAAAGCACAUUCACUUGUAAACAUGACCCUUUCUCUAAUUCAUCAUUUUCAUCCAUUUAUGUUCAUUUGGUUCUACAUGAAAUUCAUUUCUGGUGUCAACGAGCUAGCAGAGGGACCAGUUGAAAAUAUGUAAUUACGACUCUAGUAAUUUAUAAUUAAGUUUGAGCUUUUCACCUACUAAUUAUAAAAUUAUUUAUUAAUGAAGUAAUUCCACUAUAGUAUCGUAACUAAGCUUUCCCUAGUUUCAUAGGUUGUGAAAGAAAGUCUACAACAACAGUACAAUUGAAUGAUCCAUCUUGUUUGCGAGUGGUCACAUGGCCUAACACGACUGACCCGUUGCUUGGAGAGAUUGAAGGCCCACAUACAUAACAUGGAAAAUAUGGGAAGUAGUCUUAGAAGAUUUGGUUCUGUAAAUAUUAGGAGAUUUGAUUUGUAGAUUGCUUUUAAUCUUGGUCAUUGAUGUACUUUAUUUUGUACUGUUGGAUCUAGGGGAGCUCAACUAUAAAUAGAGGCUUCUCCCCCUCAUUUGUAAUCACUUCAUUCUUGAGUAAUAGAAUUCUUCAAGAGCAUUCACUCAAACUCUUUGUGAUUUUGCUUAUUGUGGCUUUUCUGUUCUUUCAAGCUAUUUUCUCUUUUGAGUUGCUUCAGCUUAUUUUAGGUGUCUUAAAAAUAAUUUUUAUCAAGAAUUUUUACUUUGUGAGAGUUAGGUUGACUUAGGCAUAUUUGAAGUGAAGGAAUCACAUAAGGCUGCACAGAUUACAAGACUAAAAUUCUAGCCUCGUGAUAGUUGGUAUCCAAGCUAAGGUUUCAAAGGAACCGGUUAAGAUUUUGUUAAAGGUAGUUGAUCAAGUUAAGCCAAUGGAGACCCGUAGGAGGGAACAUCAUGUCGAAUUUGGAAGGAUAAGUAGUCACUCUUGAGGAGUCCAUAAGCGAUAUGAGGGAGACAUUCGAGCAUGUUGAAGGAGAACUCACCGAUAGGUUGUAAUCAAUGAAGAAGCAGUAUAGGGACUAUGUGUUAAAAUCUCUCAGUUCCACUGAAAACAAUCUGAUAGGAAGGGAUGAUACUUUCGAGGCUAUGGUGAUAGCUUGAAAUAGCCGACUUGUAACCCUUUAAAACUAUAGGGGACACAUAGUCCAGUCACCUGGCUAUGUGUCACACACAGCUGAGACAUACGCCCGUGUGGAUGAAAAUAGGUCAUUUUACAAGCCACAUUUCUCACCCAAUUUGGCACCAACAUACACCCAAAAAUGUACACAUACACUAGCUAUAAUCAAGCAUCCAAAACAAGCAUGAGCAAGCUUUAGACGUGAUAUAUUCACAUACAACCAAUAUGCCCUUAGACACCUCAAAUGACAAGUAUAAUUAUGUUCAACCAUGUUAUCCAUGUAACCAAGUAAUCAACCAACUUUUAUGUAUAAUUGCAUCAAUACACAACAUGUAAAUUAUAUACCAAAACUUACCAUUUGGUUUCAAUUGUACCACUUAUUCAAUAUCAUCAAACACACAUAUCUGCUUACCAUAGCAUAGCACUAAAUCACACCAAAUAUUAAAACAUACCUCAUAUGCAUAUUCAAUUACUAUUUUACCUUUCAUCAUUCAACCACAAAUCAAUCCACACAUCAACCUUAUAGGGCAAAUUAUGCACAUACCAAAAUACCAAAACACAAGCCAAAUAAGUGGCUAAUGUUAACAAAACACAUGUAGGUCAACAUUUAGUAAAAAUAAUUUAUACAUACCAUUAGAACCAAAAUGUAACCAACUAAAAAUACCAAAAGAGCCGAUGGAUAGUGUGAUAUAGCUCCGACAAGAUUCUAACCCGAACGAGCUUUCGAAUCACAUAAAACACAGAAAAUAACACAGAGUAAGCUGUUAAGCUUAGUAAGUUCGUAUAACAUAAAAUUUAGCUUACCAUUUAAUCAUAAUUUAGGUAAGUAACAUAGCAUAUCCCAACUCAAUUUGGCCUAAUGCCUAAGCACAUAUUCACCAACAUGUUAGUCAUGUGAAACACAUAUAAUAGCCAAUACACAUGGAUGAACUCAACAAUUAUUCAAGUUGCCUAAACAUAUAUCAUCCAUUUCAUAUAGCAAUGUAUCAUGUAAUAUCAUUUCCAUGUAUUUCAUGUAAAUACUUUUACUAGUUCGUAUCGAACUCAUAUAAUCUCAUAACAGAACUAUGCCCAUUGAACCAUUUAGAAUAUCAUUGGAUACUCGAGUAGCACACAUAUGGUGUACUGAACUGUAAUCCGUCAAUUCUUGUACAUGUAUGCUCAUACGAGCUCAGAAUCGGUAUGCUCUUUACGAGCUGUAAACGGUAAGCUCAUAUAAGAUGAAUAUCGACAAGCUCAUACGAGUUGAAUAUCGGUAAGCUCUCUUGAAUUGAGAAUCAGUAACCCUAAUGACAUGUCAUUUGUAUCCUACGAAUUCCUAAGGUUCAAACGGGACUCGGUAAUCAUCGUAUGUCGUCGGAUAUGCGAUCGGUAUUCAUAUAUGAAAAUAACGCAAUCACAUACAUAUAAUUCGAUUAAAGCUUAUAAUUACACAAUUUAAUUACACGAACUUACCUCGAUGAGUAUACAUAGAUACGGAGGCGAUUAAUCCGAGAUUUUUCCUUUGCCUCGAUCUAACUCCGCACGAGGUCUAUCUUGAUUUAUACGAAUAAAUUUAACUCAAUUUAAUAUUUUUCACAUUCAAUUAGUCCAACAUGUAAUUUUGGAAAAAUUACCAUUUUACCCUUAUACUCUAAAUUUUCGCAAUUUACUCCCUAGGCUCGAAAAUAAAAUUCAUGCAAUUUUUUCCUUACCCAAGUCUAACUGAUUUCUAUACAUACUAAUAUCAACUCAUAUUUUUUCACAAAUUUACAAAUUUACUACAUAAUAUUUUUUAUUUUUCAACUUAGUCCCUAUUUAACAAUUUUACUAAAAUUCCUUUACAAAAGUUGUUUAUUUAAUAGCAAUAAUUCAUUUUCUAUCAUCAAACUUCAAAACUCAAGAAUAUACAUCAACGUAAAACCCUAACAGUUUAACAAUUUUGCAAAUUAGUCCUCAGGCUAGCUAGAUUAAGCUAUAACGAUCUCGAAAACAUAGAAAUCAUGAAAACAGCACAAAAAUACCUCACCAAUUGAGCUUUAAAGUAGCCGAACCAUAGAUGAGAAAAACUGGCUUCUUUCCCUUCAAUAUUCAGUUGAACAUUGAUGAAGAAAGAUGAUAGCAAAUUUUAUUUUAUUUUAACUUAUCAUUUAUUAUUUAAUUACUUAAUCAACCUUUAACAUUAAUCCAAAUUGCAAAAUUGCCAAGCCAUUAUCAUCCACUAACAUACUCAUGGUCUAAUUACUAUAUAAGGACCUCCACUUUGAAGUUCCAUUGCUAUUUAAUACCUUUAGUUAUUAGAACUCAACUUUUACACUUUAUGUAAUUUAGUCCUUUUUAUCAAAUUAAGCAAGCAAACGGUAAAUUUUUUUAACGAAAUUUGUUUACGGUAACACUAUCAUACUGUAGACCAUAAAAUAAUAAUAAAAUAAAUUUUCAACCUCAGAUUUGUGGUCCCAAAACCAUUGUUCCGAUUUCACUGAAAACAGGUUGUUACAACUCUUCCCCCUAAAGGGAUUCUUGUCCCCGAAAAUCUUAACAAAAAAAAAGGUUCAGAUAUUGAUUUCUCAUUGCUUCCUCAGGUUCCCAGGUGGAUUAUUCUAUUCCAUUUCAUUGCCAGAGAACUUUUACUAAAGCUAUAUUUGUAUUUCUCAAUUCUUUCACCUCUCGUGCUAGAACUUUGAUAGGUUCUUCACUGUAUGUCAUAUCAGGCUGAAUCUCGACAUCCAUCGGGGAGAUAACAUGUGAAGGUUUAGAUCGGUAUCAUCGCAACAUAGACAUGUGAAAGACAUUAUGAAUUCUUUCAAGUUCUAACGAUAAGGAUAAUCGACAUGCAAUAGGUCUGAUUUUUUCAAUAAUCUUGUACGGCCCGAUAAAUCAUGGACUUAGCUUCCCUUUGCGACUGAAUAGAAGAUCUUUCUUCCAGGGCGAUACUUUUAAAAAUACUCUAUCGCUAACUUGGAACUCUAUGUCUUUACAUUUAAGAUCCGCAUCUGAUUUCUGACGAUCUAAAACUGCUUUCAAACUAUCUCAGAUCCCUUUCACUUUUUCUUUAUUCUCGCGAAUGAAAUCAACCCCAUGUAUCUUUUUCUCACUAAGUUUGGUCCAGUGUAAUGGAGUUUGGCAUUUAUGACCAUACAGAGCCUUAUAUGGUGCCAUUUUUAUACUCGACUGAAAACUGUUAUUAUAUGUGAAUUCGACAAACGGUAAAUAUUUCUCCCAGUUGCCUUCAAACUCUAGUACACAACAUUGAAGCAUAUCUUCGAGAAUCUGAAUUACGCGCUAGGAUUGACUAUCGUCUGAGGGUGAAAUGCAGUGUUAAAAUGCAACCGUGUACCAAGAGCUUCCUAUAACUUUCUCUAAAAUUGCAAUGUAAACCGCGGAUCUCUAUCCGAAAUAAUGAAGAUUGGCACUCCGUGUAACCUAACAAUCUUAGAAACAUAUAAUUCAGCUAAUCUGUACGUAUCGGAAUAAAAUGUGUGGACUUCGUCAAACAAUCUAUGAUAGCCCAGAUGGCAUCUAUCUUUCUCGGUGUUAAGGGUAAACCUGAUACGAAAUUAAUAAUAACUCUAUCCCAUUUUCACUCCGGUAUCAUUACUGGCUAUAACAGUCUUAAAGGUACCUGAUGUUCAGCUUUAACUUGUUGGCAUACCAAACAUCUCGAUACAAAAUUAGAUCUCGCAUUUUAUUCCCGACCACCAUUACAUCUUUCUCAAAUCACUGUAGAUUUUAUUGCUUCCCGAAUGAAUAGACAAGCUACCACUAUAAACUUCAUGUAAGAUUCUCUAAAUAAGCUCUGGAUUCUUCGAUACACAAACUCUACCUCUACACAAUAAACAAUCAUCGGGUCCUAUCUGAAAUUCUGAAUCAGUAGUUGACUUACACUGUACCCAUUUUUCUAACAACUCACUAUCAUAUUUCUAAGCUUCGCAGAUCUACUGUAAAAACAUCGGUUUAGCUUUUAAAUUAGCUAUGAUCGAGCUAUCAUCAGAUAACAUCAGUAGUGUAUUCAUCACUCGCAAAGCAAAUAAGGACUUUCUACUCAAAGUGUCAACAACUACAUUUGCUUUUCCCGGAUGAUAAUCAAUGACCAAUUCAUAAUCUUUUAACAACUCAAGCCAUCUGUGCUGUCUGAAAUUCAGAUCUUCCUGCUGCAUUAAAUACUUUAAACUCUUGUGAUCAGUAAAUAUGUGACAUUUUUCACCGAACAAAUAGUGUCGCCAAAUUUUCAAUGCAAAUACAAUGGCUGCUAACUCUAAGUCAUGUGUCAGAUGGUUCUUCUCAUGCGGCUUUAACUAUCUGAAAGCAUAAGUUAUCACUUUGCUUUCUUGCAUUAAAACACAGCCUAAACCAUUCAAUGAUACAUAAAGUCACAAAUUCUUUACCCGAUUCAGGCUGAACCAGAAUUGAUACUUUGGUCAACAGUGCUUUCAACUGAUUGAACUUUUGCUGACAUUUAUCAGACCAUUCAAACUUCACAUCUUUCUAUAAUAACUAUGUCAUUGGUGUAGCUAUCAUAUAAAACCCUUUGACAAAUCUUCGGUAAUAACUAGCUACUCCCAAAAAACUUCUAACUUCAAUUACAUUUCUAGGUAGUAUUCAGACAACAACUAUGAAAAUCUCACUCGAAUCAACUAUGAUGCGUUUGGCCGAUACUAUAUGUCCCAAAAAAUUGACUUGUCGGAGCUAGAACUUGCAUUUGCUAAAUUUAGCAAAUAAUUGUUUAUCUCACAGAGUUUGCAAAACAAUUCUUAGAUGCUUAACAAGUUCAGUAUCAUCUCGGGAAUAUACCAGUAUAUCAUAAAUAGAUACCACAAGAAAUCUAUUUAAAUACUGUCUGAAGAUUUUGUUCAUCAAAUCCAUAAAUAAUGCAGGUGUAUUAGUUAAACCAAACAGCAUUACAAGAAACUCAUAGUGUCUGUACCUGGUUCUAAAUAUAGUCUUUGGCACAUCUGAAUCUUUUACUCAUAACUGAUAGUAACCGGAACGGAGAUCAAUCUUCGAGAAUACUGUGGCACCAUUCAACUAACCGAACAAAUCAUUAAUUCAAGGCAGUGGAUAUUUGUUCUUGAUUGUAACCUUGUUGAGCUGGCGAUAGUCAAUACAUUAUCUCGUCGAUCCGUCCUUUUUCUUAAUGAACAGAAUUGGUGCACCCUAAGGUGAAAAAUUGGGUCGAGCAAAGCCCCUAUCUGUCAACUUUUGCAACAAGCUUUCAACUUUUUUAACUCAAUAGGAGCCAUUCUAUGAGGUGCUAUCGAUAUCAAAAAUGUUUUUGGUACAAGUUAUAUAGUAAACUCGACUUCUGUGAUCAAUUGUAAUCAAGGUAACUCCUCUAGAAACAUAUCGGAAUACUCACAAACCACUGGCACUGAUUCAAGCUUCGAUUCAGACACUUUAGUAUCCAAUACAUAAGCAAGGUAAGCAUUAUAACCUUUUCUCACAUAUUUCUACGCUGACAUAACUGAUAUCACAAUAGGCAAUCCAUUCGGAUUAUAAGAUUCAAUACGAAGCAUCUCACUGUUUUGACAUUUUAAUACAAUUAGCUUUCGUCUACAAUUUACAAUAGUAUCGUGUAAAGUUCACCAAUUCAUGCUCAAAAUCACAUUGAAUUUAUCAAACAGUAAUAGCAUCAAAUCAGCCAAAAAAUUAUAACCCCGAGUCAUCAAAAGACAAUUCUUACAGACUUUAUCAACUACCACAUACUGGCCUAGGGGGUUUAACACUUUAACCACAAAUUCAAUGGAUUCAACAGGUAAAUUUUUACUAGAUACUAAAUUCAUACAAACAUACGAAUGGGUUGAUCCUGGAUAUCUUAAAGUAAUUUCAUCAGUAUCAUAAAUAAAGAAAGUACUGGUAAUAACAUCUGGCACAGAAGCAUCCUCGCAAGCACAAAUAGCAAAAGUCUUAGCUAAUGCUCGUGCCUUGGAUCUCACAGUAGAGUCUUUCAUCACGCCACGACUCAUAUUUUUAGGAUUACGAGGCGACCUACCUCUCACAGCAGUAUUGCUCGAUCUCAUGGUCUGAGCUUUUUCUUUCUCAAAUUUCUCUGAGAAAUCACUAAGAUGGUGGUCUAAGGAACCACACCUGAAGCAUGCUUCGCUCUUCACUAGACACUCAACAUAAUGUGUUCUGUUAUAGUGUUUACAUCUGGGUCUGGCAUAUCUGACAUUACCCAUCCUCAUUAUAGAUGUAGCCUAUAGUUUAAGACUAGAACAUCAGGUACCUCUGUCUGUAUUAGAAUAUCCCAUAAAAGUAGUAGAACAGUAGUGAUGUUCUUUUGAUUUCUUCGAUGCUGACUAGUAUGACUUUCCCAUCAAUCUCUUUCUCGAAUCUCUAGCUUCAAAUCCAGCGUGUCUUUUCUCUUUACACAAUUCCUCAGCUUUAUGUACUCUAUCAACUAAAACAACGAAUUCUUUCAACUCAAGGAUUCUGACUAUAAGCUUUAUAUAUUCGCUAUAUCCAUCUUCAAACUGCUUACAUAUUACAGUCUCGGUCGGAAUACACUCUCGAGCAUAUUUACCCAAUCGAAUAAAUUCUCAUUCAUAUUCAGACACUAUCAUAUGACCCUGCUUGAGCCCAUGAAAUUUUUUACGUUUUUGAUCGAGAAACCUUUGACUGAUAUAUUUCUUUUAGAACUUGAUUUGAAAGAAUUCUUAAGUGACCCGUUCUCUCAGUACUACAGAAGUUAAUGUAUUCCACCACUAAUAAGCCAAAUCUUUUAGUAGAGAUACUACACAUUUAAGACAUUAAACUGAUGAAUAGGGUAGUUAGUCAAGAACCCUGAUAGUAUUCUCUAACAAGAAUUUAGCUCUCUCAGGAUCAUCUUCAACAGUAGCUUAGAAUUUUUUAACCCUGUAUUUACGAAUCUUAUUAACAGGAGGCUUACUAACUCAGAUUGGUUUCUUAUUUUGAGGAAUCACGAGAACUGGUUAGGGAAUAGGAAGGGGUGGUAGUUGUUGAGUAGCCGGGUUUGUCCGUACAAACUUGAUGACCUAUUCAUUCAUCAUCUGAAAAAAAGAUUCCUUAGCCUCUCCUCCCGACCCUUAGAUAUGAGCUCGUACUGCUCUAACCACUCCGUGAAUGGAGGCUUGAGCGUUGCUCUCUACCUCAUCGGAUUCAACUUUGUUGAAUGUCAUUGCUACAUGAAAACAUGUUUUAAAACGGUCAGGAAAUACCACUCUAUCAUAUGUUAUAUAAUGGCACGUAUUCGUAGACUCAUACACACUAUGUUCAGUUCAAGAAUUGACUAAACCAUAGCUCUAAUACCAAUAAAUGUAACACGGCCUAGCACACGGCCUGGCACACGGGCGUGUGGCUUACCGUGUGACUUAAGUCACUGAGUUACACGGGUAAGGACAUGGGCUGGGACAUGGCCAUGUGUCCUAUUUUGAAGGCCCACACAGUUUAGGACACGGGUGUGCUACACGAUCGUGUGACCCCUACAGCUUUGAAAAUUUGCAAUGUUUUUUGAAAAAUUCUACAAGUUUUUGAUUUAGUCCCAACUUGUUUCUAACAUGUAUUUAGGGUCUCUAAGGCUCGUAUAAAGGACAAUAUGUAUGAUUUUGAUUAGUUUUAUUAUGAAUAUUGAUAAGUUAUGAAAUGAAUGAAAUUUUAUUUGUUUGUACUGUAAACUCUGGUAAUACUCCGUAAUCCUGUUCUGGCGACGGAUACGGGUUAGAGGUGUUACAUAGCCUUCUAGGAAGAGAUUCUAAAGCUCAGGGGUGAGCUCAAUGGGGUGUUGGCUACGACACCAAAGCCCAACUUGGAUGUCCUAAUGCCGUAAGAAUUCAAGGGGAAAAAUAUCACAAGAGGCGUGGACAACUUCUUGUGGGGAAUGGAGUAAUACUUUUGUGCCAAAGGCAUCAUGGAUGAAGCUACUAAGGUAAACAUUAUUGCUAUGUAUUUCAAUGAUGUUGCUCUUUUAUGGUGGCGUGGUUGGUCCACAGAUGAAAAAUGUGGUGGAACCGCAAUUAGAACUUGUUUCAAAAGGAAUUUAAGGUAGAGUUUUACCCGGAGUUUGCCAAGGACGAGGCUCGAGUAAAGUUACAUCGAAUUAUGCAGCAAGACACAGUUAAAGAGUAUUUAUAGGAGUUUAGUGAACUUAUGCUCAAGAUUUCUUAUAUUGACAAGAAAGAGGCAUUUUUCUCCUUUAUGGAUAGAUUGAAUCCAUGGGUGAAGAAAGAGUUGCAAUACUAAGGAGUUCAAGAGCUUACCAAAGCCAUGAUCAUAUCAAAUCUUUAACUGAGCUUGUCCCAAAGAAAGACAAGCUUGGGUCUUCCAAGCCCAAAUUUAAACUAAGGUGAAAUAGUGGAGGAGAUAAGACAAGCCAACAAAGAAUAGCGUUGGUAAGACUAAAACUUUUCAGAAAGCCAAGUCUGACAAGCUGUAGGAAAAGAAUACGGGAAGACUAAUAACUUGUUUCCUUUAUGAUAGUCCGUAUAUGGUAAGGGACUAUCUAAAAAAGUCUGCACUUUCUACCAUCGAAGGGGAUGAUGGGUUAGAAAAAGCAACAGUAAAGCUUGGUACAAUCUUGAAUUCUUUCAAAUCUAAGAAGGUUCAGAAGAGAAAGGGGUUGAUGUUUGUAGGCAUCACUAUGGCAGGCAGAAAAUUGAUACCUUUAUCAACACAAGUGCUUCAAAUAUUUUCGUACCCGAAGACACUGCUCAGAAGUUGGAUCUCAAGGUUGAGAAAGAGGUAUGAUGGAUUAAGACAGUGAAUUCCAAGAGAAUUCUAACAAUGAGCGUGACAAAAGGAGUGAAACUUCAACUUGGCAAUUGGACUGGUAAGGAGACUAUUGAAGUAAUACUACUUGAUGACUAUGACAUUGUGGUUGGAAUAAGUUUUCUUACUGGAUUAAUAUACUUUUUAUUCCUUUCGUCGACUAUAUGUGUAUCUUGGAUUCGCAUCAAUAAUGUUUGAUGCCAAUGGAAUAGGAUAGUGGUGUGGAAGCUAAAACACUAUGAGAAUUCCAAUUUGUUAAGGGGUAUGUAAAGAUGAAGUAUCCUACUUAGAAACCUUGAAAGUCGAUGAAGUCAUUAGACCUAUUGGUAAGCUUUCGAAGGAAGUAAUACAGUAGCUACAAUCUUUUCGAGAUGUGAUGCUUGUUGAGUUGCCCAAAACGUUACCCUCAAAGAGAAAGACGGAUCAUAGGAUAGAUUUAAUUUCUAACACAGAGCCAUCGACUAAAUCCCUAUAUCGUAUGUCUCUACCAGAAUUAGAAGAGUUGCAAAAACAACUGAAGGAGCUUUCAGAUGUUUGGUUCAUUAGGCCAUCUAAAGCCCUAUUUAGUGCACCGAUUUUAUUCUAGAAAAAACACGAUAGGUCAUUAAGGUUGUGUAUCGAUUAUCAGGAAUUGAACAAGAUCACUGUGAAUAACAUGUACCUAAUUCCUCUCAUUGUAGAUUUGUUUGAUCAACUUGGUAGCGCGAGAUGGUUUACCAAGUUAGAUUUGCGAUUGUGGUACCAUCAAGUUAGGAUAGUGAAAGAGGAUGAGCCAAAAAUCAUGUUUGUGACUUAUUAUGGCUCAUAUGAGUUCCUUUUGUUACCCUUCAGACUAACGAAUGCUCCAGCCAUAUUUUUUUACACCCUAAAAAAUAAGGUACUUCAACCCUUCUAGAUUGUUUUAUGGUUGUUUAUCUUGAUGAUAUUGUGGUGUAUAGUAAGUUGCUUGAGGAGCAUAUGGAACAUUUGAGGGAAAUGUUCCAAACCUUGCAAGAAAAUGAGCUUGAUGUCAAAGAGGAGAAAUGUCUAUUCGUUCAACGCCAUGUACCAUUUUUAGACCGCGUUGUGGGAGGUUGCAAAAUUAGGAUGGAUAAAGAAAAAAUUUAGGCUAUUGUUGAUUGGGAGUCACCAACCAAGGUAAUAGAGUUGGUUCUUUUUUUGGGUUGGCAAACUAUUACCAAUGCUUCAUUGAAGGAUGCUCUAAAAUCACCACACCCUUAACAAAUUUGUUGAAGAAGAGAAAGGUGUAGGAUUGACAUUCAUAGGGCAAGAACACCUUUAAUCAAAUGGAGCAACUAAUUACGAGAGAGCCUAUACUUGCUUUGCUAGAUUAUUCAAAAUCGUAUAAGGUACACACAGAUGCAUCAGACUAUGCAAUUAAGGGAGUAUUGAUACAGGAUGGGCAUCCGGCUACUUUCGAAAGGCAAAAGCUUAAUGAGAUGAAGUUUUGAUGUACAAUCUAUGGAACUUUCAUUCCAGAAACCAAGGAGUGACUGCAAAGGAGGUAGCUCGUUUAUUCCUUAGACAUGUGGUGAAAAUAUUAGGAAGUGCCAUAGUCUAUUAUCAGUGAUCAAGACGGGUGGUUUAUGGGCAAGUUCUGGACUGAAUUGUUUAAGUUGAUAGGAUUAGACUUGAAAUUUUUCACUAGCAUGCAUCCGUAAACUAAUGGGCAAACUGAAAAAGUGAUUGCAUUAUUGGAGAUGUAUCUUCAAAACUAUGUGAGUGCCACACAGAGGGACUGGCUAAAGUUUUUGGAUGUGGCCCAAUUUUCUUAUAACUUAUAGUGGAGUGAGGCCAUAAAUCAAAGUUUGUUUAAGAUAGUGAUAGGGAAACAACCACUCACACCCAAUGCUAUUGUAACUCGUUAUGCAGGACCAAAUCCAACAACUUAUUAAUUUGUGAAGGAUUGACAAAAGCAGAAUGACUUAGCUAGAGCUUGCCUAUAAAAAACAAGUAAGCGCAGUAAGAAGUAGGUUGACCAGAAUCAUAGGGAUGUGCAAUUUCAGGUUGGUGAUUUAGUUUUGCGAAUUACACUUGAUUUUGUACCACAAUGGCUUACAUAAGGGACUUGUACAAUGAUAUGAUGGACCUUUCUGAGUCGUGAAGAGAAUGGGCAAGGUAGUCUAAUAACUUGAGUUACUAGCAAAACUUAAGCUCAUUUGGUGUUCUAUGUUAGUAUGAUUAAGUCUUUCCAUGAGAAUCAGGAGGAUCCAGAUUGGGGCAAGUCUAAAUGAGUGCCAAUGGGAGUAGAGGUCUCCUAUGAUCGUGAAGUUGAAUACGUCAUGGCAGACUGAGUGAUUCAAUGAAAGUGCUAUAGGUCACGGCAUGAAUACUUAGUUUGAUGAAAAGGGAUUCCUGAUAAUGAAGCAAGUUGGAACCUAUCAUCGUAAGAAUAGGUUGGGGAGAAUACCACAAGCUGCAAAAGAGAGCCCACGACAAUAGCAUACUUGAAUGAUCCAUCUUGUUCGCAAGGGGUCACAUUGCCCAAUAGGUUUGACUACUUGGAGAGAUUGAAGGCCCAUAUACCUAGAAUGACAAUUAUGAGAAGUAGUCUUAAAAGAUUUACAAUCUUAGAAGAUUUUUAAUCUUAGAAGAUUUGAUUUCGUAAACCUUAGGAGAUUUGAUUUGUAGAUUGCUUUUAAUCUUGGCCAUUGAUGUACUUUAAUUUGUACCUUUGGAUCUGGGGGAGCGCAACUAUAAAUAGAGGCCUUUCCCCCUUAUUUGUAAUCACUUCAUUCUUGAGUAAUAGAAUUAUUUGAGAGCAUUCACUCAAACUCUUUAUGCUUUUACUUUUCUGUUCUUCCAAGCUAUUUUUUCUUUUGAGUUGCUUCCGCUUAUUUUCAGUUCUUUAAAAGAGAAUUUCUAUCAAGAAUUUUCACUUUGUUUGAGUUAGGUUGACUUAGGCGUAAUUGAAGUGAAGGAAUCGCAUAUGGCCACACGAAUUGCGAGACAAAAAUUCUAGCCUCGUGAUACUAGUUACAUACCAUUAUGAAAGCUACUCAAUUAGUGCUCAUCCAAUGACCUUGUCAUUAGUGUGUUUCUCACAUAGGAUAUUCAUAAUCUUUUUGGUAUGAAUUUGUUCUACCAAUAUGAUCAUAUUCUAUUUCAUGAUAUUCAUUACAUUUUCCUUCAUGGAAAGUUGAAUUACUAUCAAAUAGUAAUUAAGUUAUUUAUUACAAAGACAAACGACCCGUGAUUAUGUUUACUUUUUAUCCAUCAUGUAAUGUCAAAAAGAUAAUAUCAUUUACCUAUUAGUUGGGCUAUGGAUUCCACUAUUGUGAAUGAUGCUACAUAUUAUAGAAUUCAUAUACCCAAUGCACCAGCUUUCGAUUCCUUAUAUACUUGAACUCAGGCUUUUACUUACAUCCAAGUAUAUGAGUCACACAUAUAUAGUCUAGAACCAACUCCUAAUAGUAGACUUGUAAACAAUUAACAACAUAAGGUGUUUCGUUGCAAUGAGAGGGUCUCUCGUAAGCCUAAAUUCUUUCAAUCUAAUAAAAGUGUUUUAAACAUUAAAUUUGUCGAACAAGAAGAUGAUAACCCACUCACAUAUGAUAAAGCGAUGCAGAGUGCUAAUUCCAAACUUGAAGAAUUAACUAUGAAAGUUGAGAUGGAUUUUAUAAAUUUCAACUCAGUGUGAGAACUUUUAGACUUACCGAAAUGGAUAAAACACAUAAGAUGUAAAUGAAUCUACAAGAAGAAAAGAAACACAAAUUAAAAAUUGGAAACUUACAAGGUGAAACUUGUAGGAAAAUGUUAUACUUAGAAAGAAAGUAUCUAUGAAGAAAUCUUCUCUUUGGUUGCCAUGCUAAAGUAAAUCUGUAUAUUGUUAUCCAUUACGAUGACUCUUGAUUAUGAGUCUGAAAAAUGGAUGUUAAGACAUCAUUUUUGAAUGGCUAUCCUAAAGAGAGCAUCUAUAUGAUGCCUCCCAUCGAAUAUAUAGUUAAAUGAAAUGAGUAUAACGUUUGCAAACUGCUUAGAUCUAUAUAUGGACAUAAGCAAGCAUCCGACUCAUGGAAUAAAAGAUUUGAUCAAGCGAUCAAAACUUUUGGAUUUGAACAAAACAUAGAUGAACUUUGUGUUUAUAAAUGUAUUGAGGAUAGAAAGGCGGUCUUUCUCGUUCUAUAUGUCGAAGACAUUCUAGUCAUUGAAAAUAAUGUAGGGACAUUGUUAUCAGUUAAACUGUGGUUAACUCAAUAGUUUAGCAUGAAUGACUUGGGAAAAGAUAAUUUUUUUCUAGGUACUCGAUCCUAAGGGAUUAAAAGAAAUAAGUGAUAGCAUUAUCACAAGCUUCAUACAUAGACAAAAUAUUGGAACUUUAUGCAAUGACCGAUUCUAAGAAAGGAAGUCAACCUUAUGCAUCAGGAUUUCAUCUUUCUUUGGAAUAUUGUCCUAAGAUAAGGGAAGAAAAAGAAAAUAUGAGAAAGGUUCCUUGUGCUUCUAUAGUAUAAAGUCUCAAGUAUGCUCUGUUGUGCUCAAAUCCAUAUAUUUGUUUCAUAGCAGGGUUGGUGAGUCGAUAUCAAGCGAAUCUAGGUCCAACACAUUGGCAAAUAGUUCAGCAUACACCUAAUUAUUUAUAGAGAAUGAGGGGUUAUAUGCUUGUGUAUUCUGAAAGAGAUCUUACUCCUAUCAGAUAUACUAAUUUUGACUUCCAAGCAUCCUAGGAGUCAAGGAAACUGGCAUUGGGUUGUGUUUUGUCCUAAUCAGUUGAUCAAUAGUAUGGUCAAGUGUCAACCAGAGCUAUACUACUAACUCCACUAUGGAGGCCGAACAUGCGGCUACUUCUGAGGUUAUAAAAGAAGCAAUAUGGUUUGAAAAUUCCUUACAAAUCUUGAAGUCAUUCUUGGUAUGAAAAGAACUAUCACACUGUAUUGUGACAACAGUAUGACAAUAACUAAUACCAAGGAAACUAGAAACCACAAGAGGAUGGCACACAUUGAUAGAAAGUAACAUAUCAUAAAUGAGAUAGUUGCAGAUGGAAUCAUGAAUCUAGUCAAAGUCGCAUCCGAUGACAACAUUGUAGACCUGUUUACCAAGACUCUACUAGCUAGAGUUUUGAGAAACACAUGGAGAGCAUAAGAAUGCGGAAUAUGACUCAUCUACUACAUUAGGACAAGUGAGAGAUUAUUAGAUCUGGUGCCCUAAAUGUAGUAUAUUUGUUUGUACACUUGUAAUUUUUUCAAACAGAUUUGUUAAUAUAAUUAUUCAUGAAUUACAUUAUUAUCCUUUGUAUAUCUACUCAUGUGCUUUUUUUCAUGUAAAGCAAAAUAGAAGCAAAUAUUAGCUUGAUGGUUGUCUAAUGUUUAACUGAUACUAAGCGGUAUUACGUUGUCAGAUCAUAAUAUGAACAAACAACUUAUAUUAGUAGAAAAACUUAAACAUGUCCUUAGUCUAUUAAAAAAUAAGUAAACCGAUUGAAAGACUAAUAUGUGUCUAUCAAGUCCAAUUGGGUAGAUGUUUUGUCUUGGGCAUCGGAGUGGAUGACUCCUAGAAGAUAAAGACAUAGAUGUGACUAAAUGGGCUGACAAUCAGAGGAUAUCAUUUUCCAAUUUCUUGAGCUAUGGAUUCCACUAUUUUUAAUGAUGCUACAUACUGCAGAAGUCAUAUACCCAACGCCCCAACUUUUGGUUCCUUAUCUAUUUGAACUCAAGUUUUUACUUACAUCAAAGUAUAAAAGUCAUGCAUACAUAGUCCAUUAUCCACUCAAGAAUAAGGUAUGCCACAUUGUGAACAUCACAAAUGAAUAAAUUCAUAAACUGAUAUAAGAUCUAUUUUAUUUAGGUCUUGUUCAAUAAAUUGUCAAUCUAGUCACUCAAAUCUAUAUCUCUAUCUUCAAAUAGUCAUUCACUCUGAUUCUCAAGACCAAACAUCUCCCCAAUUGGUCUUGAGAAAUGACGUAUUAGCUUUUCAAUCAAUUUGCUCAUUUUUAAUUAGACUAAAGACAUGUUUAGGUUCAUCUACUAAUAUAAGUUGCAUUUCCGUAUUACGAUCUAACCACGUAAUACCGCUUAGUAUUGGUUAAACAUUAGAUAACCAGUGAGUCAAUAUUUUCUUCCAUUUUGCUUUGUGUGCAAAAACAUUGAGGACAAUAUACAAAGGGUAUUAAUUUAAUUAAUGAAUAUUAUUAAACCGAUUUGUUCAAAAAAAUUCAAGUAUAUAAAAUGAAUAUACUAAAAUUAGGGCACCAAAUGCAACAAAAAGAACUUAGAUUUUAGCUUUCUAUCAUAACUCUAAAGUUAGUGAAACCUUGAUUUACAAUACCCUGGCUAAGACCUUUUUCCCAGAUGCAUUAAGGAACAAAUAAUUUCCCCUAGAAGGUAUACCUAAUGUAUAUUGAAAAUGACACUUCCUCUUAUUGCUAAGCAAUAUACAUUCUGAUAAAAAAAAUUAUUGCUUGGUAGCGUAGCUAUAACACCCCUCACCCAAGUCCGAGGCUGAGACUGGGCAUGAGGUAUUACCUAACUUAAACACAUGCACACGAACAUAUCUGAAUCAUAAAAACUCGAUCAAAUUUAAAAUUUUUCAAUAAUUGUCUAAAAGACCUUAAUAUAGGCCUACAAGGCCCAAAACACGCUUUGAGAACAAUUCGGGGAUUGUUUGAAUAUUUUUGAAAACUUUGAAAAAAUACCACUUGAAAUAAGGGCACACGCCCGUGUAGAAAAGCGACACACCCGUAUGGCCAUUUUGACAUGGCCGUGCUGAAGACCCGUGUAUCUCAUAAAAACCUAAACAAAAUAGGGACAUGCCUAUGUCCCUUACCUGUGUGGAUUUAUUUUCUAAUUUGAACCUACAGGGGUUUUCACACGGCCGGGCACACGCCCGUGUCUAUAGCCCAUGCCCCUUACACGGCCAUGACAUGCCCAUGUCAUAGCCCGUGUGUAAAAACCUUAACAUUCUAUUUUUGACGUCAGCAACAAAUUAAGGGCACACGGUCAAGGUACACGCCCGUAGCCAGAGGCCGUGUCCUCCACACGACUGAGACACAUAACUGUGUCUCUACUCGUGUGUUUACUACCAUGCAUACUGACUUACAAAUUCGAAGUGCAGGGGACACACGGCUGAAUAACAUGCCCAUAGGGCAAACCAUGUGCCGCACACGACCUAGGCACACGCCCGCGUGUCUAGCUGUGUGGACAAAAUAAGGCUAUUUACCAAGCCUAUUUGCCACAUUUACUUGUACCAAGCUAUACUACACCUAGACAAACCAAUCUCAUACACAACUACAUGGCUAAAUUAGCCCCCAACCAAACAUUCCACACAUUAGGACCACUCUACUUAUUCACAAACAAACUCAACAACAUGCAAAAUCAUUCAAUUUACUCAUUCCCAAAAGAAGAUCAUCAUUUGCAUUUAUCAAUAACCAAUAUUAGCCACCAUCCAUGGCAUUAUACAAAAUGACUCGAUAGCUAUGACAAGCUACUCAUUUGGCCAAAAAUAUUGUGGCCAUUACAAAAAGACUAGUUCCUAUACAUGCCAUAAUCAAGAUGAUAAAACUAGCUAUACCAAAUGCUUCAGGGAUAGUGUGACUGGCUUCUCCGACUUAAGGCGAUGAGCACUAUGAGAAAAUGGAAAGGAAAAGAGGUAAGCAUAAAGCUUAGUAAGUCGCAUGUAAAUAAUUAAUAAUUACAAGUUACCAUAAGGGAUCAUACUCCCAAUAUAACUCAAUUUGCACAUGAAAGUGAGAAUUCAUAAAUAUUAAUUGUUCAUAUUCAUCUCUCACCAAACAUGCAAUGUAACACCCCUUACCCGUAUUCCUUACCGGAACAGAGUAUGAGGUAUUACUAAAUUUUAAAAAUUUUCGACAGCAUUCCUACUUAUUUUUGCUUAAACCUCCUGCAAAUUUAGAACACAUUCCAAUAUACCAACCAAUUUCAUUUGUAUAAACACACAUAUAGUUUAACUAUUAAUAAACACUACAUUUAAAAGGGAACCAUAACAUAUAUUUACAUGAUGAUCCCACAUUACAUAAAGUGUCUAUACAUGCCAUAAAAUUUCGGAACACUAGUAGUAAAAUACCCCAAAUGUGAAGGAUAGUGUAGAUGAUUGUCUGACUUCGUUCCAAUUUCCGAGUUGUUGGAAGUCACUAUAACCAAGAGAAAAAUAAAAUCGAGUAAGCAUAUAGCUUAGUAAGUAAACACAUGAUAAAUAAGUAAUUACUCCCAUAACUACACCAAAAUAUAAACUUAUUCAUGAAUAACUUUAUUGUUUAGGCAAUUUCCAGCAAGCUGUUUUUCUGCGUCAUAGUCGCUAAUUUAUUUUUAUCUGGAGCUACAGGGCUCCAAAUUGAGUUCCGUAAAUUUUCCCUGAAACUAGACUCAUAUACCAUUUCACCAUAAAAAUUUCAGAAUUUUUAACCCAGCCAAUUAGUACAAUUUAUUCAUUAAACCUUCCCCUUUUUCACUGCCCAAUGAUUCUGACCCUUCCUCACUAAAAUUUACUUAACUCUCUGUACAAAAUUUGAAAAAUGGUUUUUCUUGUUUCUAAUAAAAAUAGACUCAAUAAGGAUUCCAGGGAUAUAAAUUUCAUGCCAUAAUUAUUUUUUUACAAUUUUUGGUAAUUUUCCAAAGUUAGAAAAGGGGAUCUCGAAUCAAUCCAGCCCUGUUUCAGUAAAAUUCAGAUAUCUCCAAAAAUACAACUCCUUUGCUUAUUCUAUUUCUUUCAUAUGAGAAUAGAUACAUUCAACUUCAAUUUCAUAUAUUAUUCAGCUUCCCAUUCAUUUUCACCAUUUAUGGUGAUUUUUUCAAAGUUACCCAAUUGCUGUUGUUCAACACAGUUUAUAAUUAAAUCGUUCAUUUUGCGUUUUUGAUAUUUUCUCCCAUCUCAUACAUGGGUCGAUUUAGUAUUCAACUCAAUAUUUACCCCAUAAAAUUUUCCACCAUAUGGCAAUAUUCAUCUUCCACACUUUUUCGUUGAACACUCGGAAUGUUAGCCGUUAUUGGUGGAUCCCGCACUUAGCACCACCACUGAAUCGGGGAAUCAGCACUUAGCAACCCCUCGGGGGAAUCAGCACAUAGCAACCCCCUUUUUAUUUCAAAGAUAUGGUGGAUAUCGCACUUAGCACCACCAAUGAAUCGGGGAAUCAGCACUUAGCAACCCCUCGGGGGAAUCAGCACAUAGCAACCCCCCUUUUCAUUUCAAAGAUAUGGUGGAUAUCGCACUUAGCACCACCAAUGAAAUCGGGGAAUCAGCACUUAGCAACCCCUCGGGGAAUCAGCACAUAGCAACCCCCUUUCACAUUUCAAAGAUAUGGUGGAUCACGCACAUAGCACCACCCAUAAAUCGGGGAAUCAGCACACAGCAACCCCUUUUAUAUACAACAUACUACGGCUUAUUCCGAGUGUUUAACCCAUAACCCAUAUAUUGCAACCCUUUAUCACCUUUCCCGAUUUAACAACAUUUUUAGGAUAUUGCCAAACAUUUAUUUUAAUUCCAAAUAAAUCUCAACAUAUAUCAAAUAAUAUCAAAAUAAUACAUUAAGUCACGUGUUUACUUACCUCGGUGCAAAAUAUCGUAAUUUUGCACUUUACUCCCCUAUCUUUUCUUUUCCCCGUUUGAUAUACUCUUCACGUCUUUCUUGAUCUAUAAUAGCAAAUUUAACUCGUUUAAUAUUCACAUUUAUUAAAAUAAUCCACCACCCAACUUUUUGAAAAUUACAAUUUUGCCCCCAAACUUUUGCAUAAUUACACUUUUGUCCCCAAGCUCAGAAAUUAAACUUCAUCACUUAUUCUUAAGUUUUAUAACAUGCUGAACAUUUUUCCCUUCUAUGGAAACAUCAAAUUCCCACUCCAACACAUACUUUUGAAUAUUAAUUAUUUUUACCGAUUAUGUCUAUUUACCCGUUUUCGCUUAAAAUUGCUUAGCAAAAGUUGUUUAACAUAAUCUCUAGCUUCAUAUUCCACCAUAAAACAGCAAAAUAAACACAUUUCACCUAUGGAUAUUUUUCCAAAUAUGAACCCUAACAUGAAUUAAUGGUAGAAUAAGCUAAACCAAGUUACCGGGACUCCAAAAAUACGAAGAACAUUAAAAACGGGGCUUAGAAUCACUUACUAUGGAGCUUGAAAGCUUAAAAACCCUAAAUAUGGCUUCCCCCUUGCUGAUUUCGUUCACCAUGAAGAAGAUGAGCAUAUUUUGCCAUCUUUUUCCCAUUUAAUUCUAUUUAAUAACCAAAUGACUAAAAUGCCCCCAUUUAAAAAAAAUCUAUUUCACCCAUUUCUUAUGUCUAUUUUUGUCCAUCAACUAACUAAUGGUCUAAUUACCACAUAAAGACCUCCAAUUUAAAAUUUCAUAACAAUUAGACACCUCUAAGAUGUAGAACUCAACUUUUGUACUAUUUACAAUUUAGUCCUUUUGACUAAAUUGAGUGCCCAAACGUCGAAAUUUUUGAACGAAAUUUUUACGAAAAUUUUCCGUGAAAUUGUAGAUCAUAAAAAUAUAAUAAUAACCAUAUUUUCCCUCGUCGGAUUUGUGGUCCCGAAACCACUAUUCCGACUAGGCCCAGAAUCGGGCUGUUACAUGCAACGUUGAUUGAAUUCACAUUCAUACUUCAUGAAAAAUACACAGAUCAUCAUAAGCAUAACUUACUCACUUUCCUUCCUUACUAAACUUACAACGUAAAUGAAGCUCGUAUUUCAAAAUUCUCAUUUAGGUACAUGUACCACUCACCACAUGGUCAUAAGUUCUCUCAUUUCGAUAUAUAUAUCAUAAAUCUCCCGUUCAACUAUUUGGAAUACUACAGGAUAUUCAAUAGCCCCAAACAUGGGAUAAGAUGUCGACGCCAUGUCCCAAACAUGGUCUUACACUGGCUAGCACAUCAAAGUCGAUGCCAUGUUCCAGACAUGUCUUACACUAACUUUCAUAUAUCGAGGCCGAUGUCGUGUCCCAGACAGGUCUUGCACUGGCUCUCAUCUAUUGGUGUCGAUGCCAUGUCCCAGACAGGUCUUACACUGACACACAACAAGCUGACGCCAUGUCCCAGAUAGGCCUUACACUAGUUUGUAUAUCUCGAGGCUGAUGCAUGUCCCAAACAUGUUUUACACUAGCUUCGUCUCAAUGUCAAUGCAUGUCCCAGACAUUUCUUACACUAGCUUUCAUAAUGUAGCCGAUGCAUGUCCCAGACAUGUCUUACACAGCACAUAUAUCACCCAACGUCAUGGCAUGAAUAUCCAAAUUUAUACCUAAUGUUCAAUCGAGAGUCUUUAUUACAUUAAUUUCUCAACAUGCAUACUCAUAUUCACAAUCAAAAAAAUUUAUGCAAUAUCAAUUCAAUCACACAUCAUAACAAUAUAGUUGCAUUAUUAACAUACAACUUACAUUGUUUUACAAAAUGUGAGCAACUAAUCGGCCUAAUCCACAAACCUGGCCUUUCUUCGGUCCAAGUCCGGUUUCCAUAUUUCUUGAUCUAAAAUGGAAACAUUUAGUCAUUUAAUUUAUCAAUUAAAUCUAAACGCUCAAUACUUUAUAAUUUGGGCAAAAUAACCAUUUUGCCACUAGACUUUCACAAAAUGACCAUUUUUCCCCUAGGCCCAGAAAUCGAUUUUUAUCGAAUUUCCUUAUUAGCCAAGCCUAACCGACCAUUUAUUACUCUUAUGAAAACCCCAAAUUUCCACUAUUUCACACAAUUACAACCUAUUCUAUAACUUUUACAAAAUGGUCUUUUUAGGUGUUUUCCAUGAAAAUCACUUUAUAAAUGUUGUUUAUCUCACAACUAUAACUCAUAUUCUUCCAUAAAAAUUCAGUUAAAAACACAUAUUAUUUCAUGGAAAAACCCUAUACUCUCAACCAUUUUGCAAAAUAGUCCCCACAAUAGCUAGAUUAAGCUUUAGGGGUUUCAAAAACACAAAAAUCAUCAAGAAAGACCACCAAGAAGACUUACUUGCAAGAGUUUAAGGUUGCUAAAAAUUUUAAGAUUCCAUGGUUGUUUUCUUGAAGAGAAAUUGGUGGAGAAAGAAGGAGAGAGAUGAGAAAAAUGACAACUUUUCCUAUUUGUUUUAUUUUAUUCAAUUUUAUUACCUAACUUUACCAAAUGUUGACUUUUCUAUUUCUUUGGCUCCCACAGCCGGAUACCUCUUUCAAAAGGUUUAUUUGUCCUCUAAAGACCUCCACAAUAUGAUUCAUAGUCAAUUUACACCUUUAGCUAAUAAAAUAGGACUUUUACACUUUAUGUGAUUUAGUCCUUUUUCACAAUUAAGCAUGAAAUCACUAAAAUUAACUUACCAAAUUUUUCAUGCACUCAUAUAAUCAUACUAUGACACUAAAAUAGUAAUAAAAAUAAUUUCUCAACCUCAGAUUUAUAAUCCCGAAACUAUUGUUUCUAGUAAGCUCGAAAUCGAGUUGUUACACUAGCGCAAAAUUUUCUCCAAGAUUUGGGCGAUUAUGCUUCUUGUUUUUAAUAGUGUGAGUCUGUAUUUAUUCUUUUAGAUAAUUGGGUAGUAGUUUGUGGUUUAGUGUGUCCCUGUUGGUAUGGUUAUUCCUAUAAGACGGGGGAUGGUCUUUUCGUUGAUGUACGGUGCCUGCGGCUUAAUGUGAGGGAGGCUUCGUCAGAGUCAAGUUAUGGGGAUUCGGGUUUUCAAGAAAGCUAUGACUAUUGUGUAUUCGGUGAUUACUAUAUCUACUUAAGUUCUUUUUACAUUUUUUAUUAUUACUUUUGAAGGCUAGAACCUUUCUUUUAUUUUUUUCGAAGUGUUUGUUUCCUGGUAGCGUGUAUGGGGUUUCUGACGUGGGCUUUUUGGCGUUAUUGGCCAAAAAACUGGUUGACUCUUCCAUGAUCUUCGUUGCAUAAAAAUAUGUUUUCUUGAGUCUUCUUUACUAUUUUUUGCAUUUAUUACGUAUUCUAUGCAUAUAUAUACAUGGUUAUUUCUUGGGUCAAAGUACGUUAAUCCUGUUAUUUUGGGUUCUUUAUCUUAUGUUCAUUAGGAUCGUUUCUACUGGUUGGGGAAGAUUAGUAACCCUAUUAGAUUGUUUAGGCUAGUUUUUUUUCAAUGAUUUUAUGUGAUUUUAAUAUUUUCUUGACCUAUAUCCACCUAUUUCUGUUAGGUUGGUUUUUCUUCGUUCUUGAACCAAUUUGCUAGUUGUAUUAGUGCAUAGUUUUUAUUUUUUCUAUUUUUCUUUCUUUUCUUUUUUUGGGUUUAUCUGUAGCUUUCGUGUUUUCGAUUUUUUCGGUUUUUUUUGUUUUUCUUUCUGAUUCCUUGAGCGCUUAACUUUAAAUCCUUGUUGUUUUUGUUUUCCUUUAUGGUGUGAGAGUCUUUUGCCUUAGGUCAUAUGGGACUGUUUUUCUUGUUAUUUUGGUUGGUUGUGGUAGUUUCUUGGAUUUUUUUAUUUUUCAGGGCUCGUUAGGAUGUUUUUUCUCUUCGUGGGGGUGAGUUGCCUUGUUGCCGCGUUGGCUGUUAUGGACGAGGAUAUCAAUGCUCUGUUAGAAAGGUUAAAGUUCUUUGAAGAGGAGUUGGUCAGGGUCAUAAGCACUAAUAUCAAAGUCAAUUGCUAGGGUUUCAAAGCUUGGGCGGUGGGCAAGAUAAUGGUAAUGGUAAAACCCUAUAAGGAGGCGAUGUAUAGAGUGUUAAGAUAGCUUUGGUUCACAGAAGAAGAAGUAAACUUCGUGGCUUUGAAUGAAGAAGUGAUACUAGUCAAAUUCGGGUGUUUGGAAGACAAAAAAAGAAUUCUCAAUCAUGUGCCUUGGUUGUUCGACAAUUUCCUAUUCGCCAUGCUUCCGUUCAUAAAGGGUAAAGAAAUAGAGACUUAAAAGUUCAAUCUUACUUCUUUUUGGUUGUGAAUUUACAACAUCUCUUUGGAAUAUUUGGAUCGACAAACUGCCUUGGAUGUUGGCAAAGCCAUAGGAGAGCCAGUUGCGAUCGAUUGGAAGGAUAGGAACGGGGGAUGGACCAAGUUUAUGAGGUUAAGAAUCAAGACUAAUGUAUCAUACCCCUACAAAGAGCUGUUAGGUUGGUGGGAAGGGAUGGGGCCAAAAUUAUCUGUAUGAUCAAGUACGAGAGAUUACCAGCCUUCUGUUACAUUUGUGGGAUAAUCAAACAUAUAAAAUAAAAAUGUCCAAAAGAAGAUCCAGUUUCUAACACAAAUAAUAUGGGUUUCCAAUACGAAAAUUGGCUAAGGGCUAUUACAGUGGCUCCAAACCAAAAUAGAGGAAUAUGGCAAAAUGGGAUUGAGAUGGUGGUAAAUCCAAUAUCUUCAAAUGAUGCUAAUGAUAAGAGUAAAUAGGGCACAAGGGAAGAAAAUGGAAAAAUAUCACCAAAGGGAAAAGGAAAAGUGUAUGAUGAAGAUUCUGAAUCCAACUCUCCUGUGGAAAAAGGAUCUCAAAAAUCUACCCUUGAUGGCCUAGGUCACUUUAAUAUAAAAGGAAAAAACAUAGGGGAGAAAAUGGAGAUAAUACGUAUGAGAGUCCGUCCAAAGUAGUUCGUAGAAGAUUACUAAACAACAUAUCACCUUCCAAGGCGACGGCUGGUGACCAACCUCGCCAAGAGCGAUGAGGGUGUUUUGCUGGAACUGUCGAAGACUUGGGAACCCUUCGACAGCUCGUGAACUCAAGCAACUUCUAGUUGCGUACAAUCCUGAUGUGGCUUUUCUUUUUGAAACAAAUAUACAUACUAACAACUUCACUAGUAUUGGAAACGUGUACAAGAUGUCGGGAUGCUUGGCGGUGAGUUCGAGUGGGCAAAGCGGCGAGUUCGUAAUGCUACGGAGAGAAAGGGUCGAGGUGGCUAUCCAAAGCUAUUCUAGAUCCACAUCAACUCGCUGGUGCAUAUGGAAUAUAAGAAAUAUGUUCGCUUCACGGGCUUUUAUGGUCAAGCUGACCUGAAUAAUAGAAGUCUCUCCUGGGAAACGCUUAGAAGAGUCGGUAGGAUGGUGAAGGAAGAGUGGAUUGUGGGAGAGGAUUUUAAUGCUAUUUUGGAUGAUAAUGAGAAUGAGGGUGGCUAGAGAAGGCCAAGGGUUCUUAUGGAAGAUUUCAGAGAGGUUUUCAAGGAGCUAGCUUUGGUUGAUAUUAAAACAUCGAAGGGCUGGUUCACUUGGGUUAACAACAGAGAAGGUAGUGCCAUAGUCAAAGAGAGAUUGGAUAGAUUUGUGAUUUCUUCAAAUGCGUGUUCGGCUUUUCUGUAUAUUAAGACCAGUGUUAUUCAUCAAACAAAAUCGGAACAUAAUACCGUGAUGUUUGACAUGAUGGGCAAGAAACCUAAGGAGAAGCAAUAAGACCUGAGACUCUUGUUCAAAUUUGAUGCGUACUGGGCGAAGGAUGAGCAGGCCAAAAACAUUGUUAAAGAUAGUUGGUGUAAUGGUAACAACAAUAUUUUGGAGAAGAUGGACAAGAUCCGUGAGAUGUUGGGGCUUUGGCAAUAUAAUAAGUUUAAUAGGAUGAGACAUCAAAUCAAUAAGCUGCAAAGCAGAUCGAUGAGACCAUCGACGCACCGAAUGCUAAUGCGAACUUUAAUAGGAUUAAGGAUACCCGCAUCAAAUUGGGAAGCUUUACAAGGAGAAAGAGGGUUAUUGGGCACAAAGAUCAAGAAUAAAUUGGCUUAGAAAAGGGGAUAAAAACACUAGAUUCUUCCAUGUGAGGGCCACGAGUAGACAAAAAAAAAUAACAUCGAUAGGCUAAAAGACCAUAAUUGGAUUUGGGUGUACAUAUAACAACCCGUUUUUAGUGAAAUCGGAAUAAUAGUUUUGGGAUUACAAAUUCGAGUCAGAAAGAAAAUUUAUUUUAAUAUUAUUACAUGGUUUGCAUUAUGAUAGGAAAGACGCAUGAAAAUUUUGAUAAGAAAAUUUUACCGAUUAUAUAAUUAAUUAAUAAAAGGACCAAAUUGCAUAAAGUGCAAAAGUUGAAUUCUAGUAGCUAGAAGGAUUAAAUAGCUAUGGAAUUCAAAAUUUGAGGUCCUUAUAUGAUAAUUAUACCAUCAAGAAAAGUUAGUAGAUAUUUUUGAUGAUUCAUCCAUGGAAAAUUAGAAAAAGAAAAGGACUAAAUUAGAAAUUAAAAUAAAUAAAAGAUGAUUAAUAAAAUAAAUAUCAAAUAACAUCAUUUUAUAUCAUCUUCUUCCCCAAAUUCUAUGGAAACCCUAAGAGAGAGAAAGAAAAUCAAGCAAGCUUAAUUGGGUAAGUAAUCUUGUCCCGUUUUUAGUAAUUUUACAUUUUCGAGAUCGUAACAAACUAACCUAUCUAUUUUAGGGAUUAAUUUGCAAAGUUAUCAAAGUAUCAAAAAUUUUCCAUGGAUGACUAUGCUAAAAUUUUGAAAUUUGUGGUAGAAAUUAACAGGUUGUUGAUAGAUAAACAACUUUUGUAAAGUGAAUUUUCAUGAAAUUGUGAUUUAGGGACUAAAUUGUAAAGAUGUAAAAUUCAUGGAAAAUUUCUAAUUUUUUUGAAAUAUGUGUUGUAAAUGUUAAAUUGCAUGAAUUUCAUUUUCCGAGCCUAGGGAUAAAAUUGGAAUUAAUGAAAAAUAUAGGGGCAAAAUGAUACUUUUGCCUAAGAUGUGAAUUGGAUUGAAUUAAGUAUGAAAUGGAUUAAAUUAAUGUUAAAUUCAUUUAUAUAAACCCGAAUAGAACCAGUACGGAGUUGGAUCGAGGAAAACAAAAAGUAUCGGAUUAGUAGAUCCUUGUAUACGAACAUUUUUCGAGGUAAGUUCGUGUAACUAAAUUCUAUAUAUUUACAUGUUUGAAUGAAAUAUUAUAUAUGUGAAUGUUGAAUUGUGAAAUUAAUAUGUUUAUGAAAUUAAUCAUAAUUUAGGAAAUGAUUGAUAAAUGUUAAAUCCCGUUUGAAUAAUGAAAUUCGAUAGAUACAAGAUUUCCUAAAUUGGUUGUAGUCCUGCAUAUGUUGCGGACACACCAUAGCUCUUACAAGGAUCCUGUUAUAAGCCCUCUCAAGCUUCAUGUUCUAUCGUUCCUACGAGCAUCCUGAUCGGUAGUGAUCCUACAUGUAUUGCGGACUACCGUGGCUCUUUGUGAGUGUUCUGUUAUACAAUCAAUUGUGAUCCUUCAUAAAUUGCGGACACAAACGCAGCUAUUUAUGAACGUCCUAAUAUAGGCUCUUUUUGAGCUUCCUGAUAUAGCUCGCUUGAACUUCCUAUUAUAUGGCAAUCUGGAGCUCCCUAAUAAUAACUCUUCAGAGUUACCUGUUAAACUUAAUGAGCUUCCUGUUUUAAACUCUUAUGAGUUUCCUAAUUUAGCCUAGAUAAGCUUCCUGCUAGAUGGCUCACAUGAGCAUCCUAUCUUAUUAUAUGGCUCGAGAGUGUGCUUCUUGAUUAUGUGCCUUAAUAGGUACCCCUGAACAUGAGUUGACAGGUUACAGUUUUGUACACUUCAAGUGUACUACAUGUGUAUCCAUCGAUAUUUCAAAUAAAUUCAAUGGGCAAAGUUCUGUUAUGGCUAAUCUGAACUUAAGAUGAUUUAUCAUAGAAAUGUAUAUGUUAUAUGAAAAUAUGAUACGAAAAGUAUAUGUGUAUGAAAGCUAUUACAUGAUGAGCUCAUCUUUAUUACUUGAAAAGUAUUUAGAAAUUUGUGACUAAUUUGCUUGAUUGAGUGUAUGGGAUUAGGCAAUUGGCUAAUUUGUUGGGAUGCAUGUUAUUUGUAUGAUUACUUAAAUUGAACAUAAUUGGUAAGUUAAAUUCCUAUUAUACGAACUUACUAAGCAUUUGAAAUGCUUACUCAGUUUUCUUUUUUCUGUUUUAUAGUGCUCGGAAGCUUGUAAAGGUUGGAAUCGGUCGGAGCACCAUCACACUAUCCUUCAGCUUAUUUUGGUAAAAAAAGUAAACUUUAUUUUGAGUAUAAUGGCAUGUAUAGGUAAAUUAGCCAAUGUUGGCACACUAAUGUUUUGGUUGUAAGUAGCCAUCGGAAUGGCUAAUGUUUGGUAUAUUUUGAUGUAAUUAUAUAAGGUAUUAACAUGUUUGAUAUGUGUAUUAUAAUGGAUUAAAAAUGGGAAUUAUACAAGUAUGUUUAAGAAUGCAUGAUUUGGUAAAAUGUACAUGUAUGUUAAUAUGGCCAAAUAAGUAAAUUGGAUAAAUGAAUUUAAGAAGUGAUAUAUUAUGCAUAAGAUUGGAUUUUGGGCUUGGUAUUAAUGUUUUGAAUUUGGUUAGUGAAAGUGUUCAAUUGUUGUUGUAGGUUGAAGGCAAAUUUGGGUGAGAAAUAGCGCUUGAAAAUGGCCUUAUUUUAUCUACACGGCCAUGCGCAAGGGCGUGUAGUUUGGCCGUAUGUCCCCUACAUCUUAAAAAUUAAGAAAUAGAAUGCUCAAAAUUGGUCACACGGGCAGAGACACGACUAUGUGUCUUAGCCAUGUAUGACACACGGUCUAACACACGGGCGUGUGUCUUGACCGUGUAAAUCCUGCAUCUAAUUUUUGAAAAUUAAAUUGUCCACAUGGCUUGGCACACGGGCAUGUGGCUGGCUGUGUGACUCAAGUCAGAGAGUUACACGGGUAUGGACACGGGUUGGGACAUGGCCGUGUGCCUCACAUCGAAUGCCCACACAGCCUACCCACACGGGCGUGUGUCCCUUACAUCUAGGAAAAUUUUUGAAAUUUCACAAAAAAUUCUUUGAGUUUCUGAUUUAGUCCUGACUUGUUUCUAAUGUAUAAAUUGGACCUCGAGGGUCCAUAUAAGGUACAACAUGAUUGAAUCAUGAUAUGUUUCGAGUAUGAAUUGUAAAUGACAUAAUUUAAUUGUAUUUGUACUGUAAACUCCGAUAUAAUACUCUGUAAUCCUGUUCCGGCGACAGAUAUGGGUUAGGGGUGUUACAGUACAACACUUUGGACAAGUGUCAUGUUGCGAAGGACUAUUUCUAUAAUCUGUUUAUGACCAACAAUGCCACUAAUGAUCAUGUGGACAUGAGUUACAUUCUCAAUUGUGUUAACCAAGAUAUGAAUGCUCAUGCAGAGAUUUACGGAUGAGGAAAUUUUACAUGCUUUCAACUAGAUGGACCUAAGGAAGGCACCCGGCAUAGACAACCUCCUUAAAAUUUUUUUUAAAGAAAACUGGGAGGUUGUGGGUAAGGAUAUUAUUUCCUAUUGUCAUGAUUUUUUAAAUGGUGUUAAAGAUAUUUCUUGUAUAAACAAAACGAUUAUUGUUCUUAUUCCAAAAAUUAAAGAACCAACUGACAUGGAAUUAACAUAUGUAGAGUGAUAUACAAAAUCAUAGCGAAGACCUUAGCAAAUCGAUUGAAAGGUUUUUUACCAAGGUGCAUCAGUCAGAAUUAGAGUGCCUUUGUACCGGGAAGAAUGAUGCACGACAACAUCCUUAUUGCGUACGAAUUAAUGCACUACCUCUAAAGUUCCAAAGAUGGUUCUAAUAAAAGCCUUGUGGUGAAAUUUGACAUGAGCAAGGCCUAUGAUCAGAUGGAGUGGAAGUUCCUCAAAGAUUUCAUGAAACAUAUGGGUUUUGUCGAGGCUUGGAUAAAUUUAAUUUUGAAAUGUGUUUGUUUGGUUAAAUAUGUGAUUAAGUGUAAUGGUUGUCUUUCGGAUACUAUUAUCCUUAAGAGUGGCCUCUGUCAAGGGGACCCCCUUUUUCCCUAUCUUUUCUUAUUUUGUAUGGAGGCAUUUUCACGAAUGCUUCUCCAUGACCAAGAUCGAGAGCUUAUCAGGGGUGUUAGGGCUAGCAUGUAAGGACAUAGUAUAAACCAUUUAUUUUUUGUUGAUGAUGCUCUCGUCUUUACAAGAAAUAAAAAGGGGAAGUUGAAGCUUUCAUGAAAAUUCUUAAUGAUUUUGAAAAUAUGUCUGGUCAAAAAAUUAACUUAGAUAAAUCCAUGGUCUACUUUAACCCGAACACUUCUAUUACCCAACAUGAGCCCCUCGGUAAUACGCUCCGUAUGCAGGCUGUUGAUAAGUUGGACAAUUAUCUCGGUUUACCUUUGCAUAUCGGCAAAAGAAAAUCAUUACCUUUUAAUAACAUCCUUAAUCGUUUCUCUUCUAGAAUUAAUAGUUGGUUUAAACUCCUCUCUUACGGAGGUAAAGAGGUCUUUAUUAAAUAUAUUCUUCAAGCUUUACUAACUUAUGCUCUCUCUAUUUUUCUUGCUCCCAUAAGUGUUAUCGAGGAUUUUAAUUCAAGGUUCGGAGGAUAUGGUGGAUGUGCAAAAAUAAAGAUCGAGGAUGGGCAAAGCUCGCAUGGAACAAUAUGUGUUCUAAAAGGUAUUGGGGCUCGAAUUUAGAGACUUUCACUUAUUCAAUAUGGCGCUUCUCGGUAGACAAGUCUAGAGAUUACUCACUAAAACAGAUAAACUUUGCUAUCGUGUUUUCAACUCCAAAUACUUCUCGGAUGGUAACUUUUUCAACCCUAAAAAAGUUGAUAAACCAUAUUUUACUUGGAGUAGCAUAACUAUAGUAGCUAAAAGACUUAGGGUGGAUUUGGGGCGGUAGUACGAUGAGGUGCGAUGCGUUUAGCUUACUUUUUAUCUCACGUUACAACAUCGCUACAGUAUCUAAUCUCACUGCCGCCACUGUUUUUGUACUAACCGCAGAUAAACGCACCGCCCAUCCAAACUUACCCAUAAACAUGGUUUCAGUUGGAUUGUGGGUGACGGCAAAAAGGUAGACAUCCACAAUAAAAUUUAGGGUUUUGAGGGUUUGGAUAGGUCUCUUUUAUUUGUCUUAGGGAGCACGUGGGUGAGAGAAAAGUGCAUGAGCUGUGGGAGUUUGAUAGCAAAGGUUGAAACAGGAAUAGGGCGCGUGAAAUUUAUGGAGAGAACCUAGGGGACCAAAUUUGAAUAUUCCCAAUUACCCUAAUGAACCGAAAGAUAGUUUGGUAUGGUUUCGUAGUCAACAUGGUCUUUUACUUCCAAGUCAACUUACUUUUGGCUUAUUCUCAAAAAAAUUGGUAUGGGGCCUCACCGUUUGUACUGGAAGAUGAUAUGGAAGCUUAAAAUUCUUCCCAAAAUUCGGGUGUUUGCGUGGAGGGUGGGUCAUGAGAUUAUGCCCACUAAUAUGAAAAUAGAUGCCAUUCGCCCUAAUGUGAACUCGAUGUGCCAGUGUUAUAGAGCUGUUAAGGAGAUGCUGAUCCAUGCGAUUAAGGAGUGCCCUUUAGCCCGAGCUACACUGGCUUGUGGGGGGUUAGAUGAUAGAAUGAUUAGUACCGAUUUCGAGCACUGUAACGACUAGCUAGAAGCUGCUAUAAGACUACUCGAUAAAAAAGCUAUGGAAGAUCUUAUCACUCUUCUUUAGAAUUCAUGGAACAACAGAAAUAACUUUACUUUUCGUGGCAAGGAGAAGGAUGCGAAAAUUAUCUGGGGAAGAACCAUUACCUUAAGCAAUAGUUUUAGAAUCAACAAUCUUAACAACAAUCCUAUGUUCCCUUUACACCCUGCUGUGCAAAACUGGAAUAAGCCUGACCAGGGUUUCGUAAAAAUCAAUGUGGACGCUGGUAUUCAAGGGGGUAGAGUGGGACUUGGAAUUAUUGCUAGGGACGAAAAGGGUUUUGUGCUGGGGGGUCGUGGCUGCUUGAAAGAGAUGAUGAUGAAUAGUGCUUGGGCAGAAUUGAUGGCAAUUGAAGAAUGAGUGAUUUUGGCCAAGAUUUUAAAUUUGAAAAAAAGUCAAUUUUGAAUCUGACAAUGCAAGUAUUGUUAACAAGUUAAAUAGCGAUGGAUAGGAGAUCACUUUCAUGGGGCAACGUGCGAAAGAGAUUUGCAUAAAGUUGAAAGAUUUUAAAGCUACUUGCUGACUUUAUUUGUACUUAUGUAUUAAACAAAAAAUGUAUUUGGAAUUUUGAUGUGAAUCAUCCCAGAGAAAUUCACGAGAUUGUAAUUCAUGAAGCUAUUAAUCAAAGUUAGGCUUUUAUGGUCUUUUUUUAUAAUAAAAAAAUACAAUAUACAUUCUACUUGCUUAGCCAUAUGCAAGCCCUAAACUAAAUCCUUAGGCUUGAAAAAGUAUACAUAUUGUGUCAUAUCCCAUUGUAAAUUACUUACAAAAAUAUUAAAGGCAUAUAAUUUAGGAAGGUUUGGUUGAUUCAAAAUACUUACAAAAGCCUUGUGAUACUGCUCCACCUUUCAUUUUUGUUUCAAAAAGGCAAGCUCAACCAUGGGAUCCUAAAACAAAUUAGGAGCAAACUUUUCCUUCAUCUACUUAGCAUAAGAAUCCCACUCUAGCAUAUGAAAUACCCCUUUCUAUUGAGAAUAGAAAUUGUAUUGGUCCAAAGUCUGUCCCUUAAAUUGAAGCAUAACCAUUCAAACCUUGCCAUUAUCAAGCAUCGAUUCCCCUUUAAAGUAUUGCUUCAUUUUUAACCACCAUCCUCUAAAAUCAGACUUCAGUCACUUCAACUUAUAUGCUUUAUUAACAGAUUCACCAAAAAUUAUCUUACCAGGAUUAGAACUUGCAUCUUCCACAACAACCAACUAUGGCUCACUAUCAUUAGGAGGGAACCUAGGGGGAGCCCCAAGAAUACUCUUCCCUUUACCUUUGGACACUUUAUUAGCCUCUAUAACAACCUUAACAAGUUCUAGCCUUUCUUAAUACUGCUCAAAUAGAUCAUUGAUCUUAGUUUUAACCUCUGCGUGUAUCUCAUUCUUGAUUUCAUCUCUUAAAUUAUACAUUCUUACAUCAAGUUUCUUUUCAAGUUCCUAUUGCAACUGACUCACAUCUUUUUGCAUUUGGGUGGUCACAUCGUCCCCCCAACCAUUGAAAAAGGCUCUGAUACCUAAUUGAUGUAGCUUCUAUUGAAUUAAUAGAAUCUUGAGAAAGAAAGUAGAAUAGAAUAAAGAAAAGAAGAAGGAGAAGGAGAAGAAAAAAAGAGAGAGAGAAAAGAGAAUUUGGAAUAACUUAGAUGGAAAAACCAAUACAAUUGCCCUAUCUUUAUAACAUGAUUCUGAUAGUUCGGUAGUUAUAAAAGACUAAAAUAAAAUGCAUCGUUUUAUUGACAUCCCAUUAUUUUUCUCCCAUACGACACCUUUUUAUUUUAACACACAUCAAUGAGUUUUGUUCUUUUUUCCCUAUUAAGUUUUAUUGUCCUUUCCACAAUGAAGAUUGAAGAAUAUUUUGUAUUUGUAACUUUAUUGAGAAACUUGUUUCUCUCUUCUUUUUUUCAAUAAAAAAAUUUUAAUUCUUUGAAUUGAGUCCUAACAUUUUCUAAUCAGUUUUACUAUGUUUGGAAAAAAAAAUCUCUUAGUUAACAAUGAAUUAUGAGAACUCAUUACUUUCUUCAAUUUUGAUAAUUGCAGGUACAUUCCUACAAAUUCAAAUGAAUUAUAGGUUCGUAUUAAUUUAAAGUAAUUCGUUCUAUUUCUCAUAUAUAUAUAUAUAUAACCCAGAUUUAACUUUUUUUUUACCUAACAUGAUCCAUGUUGGCAUGUGUCUAAAAAAUUAUUCACAUAAUAGUUAAGUUAAAUGGUUUUAGUAACAAAGAUUUUAUUGAUAUAAUAUCGAAAAUUAAUAAUAAAAUUAAAAUAAUUUUAAAAUUUAAAAAUCAAUUUAAAAUUAAGAUAAUAGUUUAGAGACGUAUAGUAUAGUGUACUUAACUCUAAAUAAUAAACAGAGUUAGUUGUAGAAUUUUUUUAUAUUUGUUAAUUAAUAUGAUAAAAAAAUAUUAAUUGAUUAAUUCUCUAGGAAUUAUUAGAGAUAUGGAUUCAGCAAUUGUUGUCGGAGAUAUUAUAUUAUAACACGGGAUUUAUUUAUUUUAUUAUUAAUAGAAUCAAAUCAAAUCUUCUUCCGUGACUUUUUAGGGUCGGUGCCCCAUUUUAGCAGUUAAUUAUAAGGUUUUCUCUUUUGUUUUCAAAAUAAAAUCAUUUGAGAAAUUAGUUUUAAUAUUAUUAUAUAAAUUAUAAAAUGAUUAUUUACUUCUUCUUUUUUGUGUUUAUUGUUAUUUUUUUGCUUUUUAUAUUUUUAUGAACUUUCUAAACUUUUUUAUUUUGUUGUAGUUGAAUGGAGAAUUAAUAUCAAUAGUCUAAUCACGUAUUCUAUUAUUUUUAUGCUGCUAUGUGCAUUUAUUUUGUACGAAUAAUUAUAGGCUAUUGGGAAUUUCAUGAAAUAAAAAUAAUUAUAAAGAAAAUUAAUGGGAUCUAAAAUAGCCCAAAUUUAUUCGUAAUAAUUGUUACAGAGUUUUUAUCAAAACUUAAAUGAUACAUAUUCAAAUUUUGUUAUUUCUAUUCUCCUUCAUAUGAUUAUAUUAUAUUUAUAAAAUAAAUCAAUAUUUAUUAAUAAUAUAAAAUAUAACAAUAUAAAUUAAAAUAAAAUUUUAUAUUUUGUAUUUUAUAGUGAGAGAAGGUAAAUUAAAGAUGUAAAAUUUUAAGAAAAUUUAAAAAGCAGCUGAAUUUGGAAUAGCUUUAAAUUUUAAAAUUCUUCAUUAUUUACUAAAACAAAUAAAUUUAUCUUAAAAUUUAUAAAAUAUUGACAAAAAUAAAAAAAACUCUUUAUAUUUUUGUCUUUUUCAAAAACAAGAAAAAACACUGUUUUCAGGAAAGUUAUCUAAAGGAGAUAACAAGGCAUUAACGGAAGCGCAAAGGAAUAGACCUUUCGUUUGUGCCUGGCAGGUUUUUGUUUUCAUUUUUGCUACCAGUUACCAAUAAACACCAAUUAAAAACCAUCUUUUUAUCCUAUAAAAGCACAAUCAUCUAGGCUACCUUCAAAAAUCUCUCCAACCCACUACCUUGAUUCAUUUCAUCAGCAGCAUUAUAUAUAUAUAUAUAGGUAACGAACCUUUUUUGUUGUUUUGCAGCUUUGGAUUUACCUUCUGGGUUGUGUUUGAUUUUGCUGUUUCUUGAUGUUUUCUGGGUGAUCAGCAGUUGUGUAUUGAGAAUGGAGGAUCUAGCAAAGAACGUGUUGAUCACUUCAGAUGGAGAUGAAAUUUCAGUGAACAUUGCUUUGCAUUUAGCCAAACGUGGUUGCAGGUUAUAAGUUUCCUAUUUUAGAUGAGUUGAUGUUUUGCAUAUACUUGGGGUUCUUUCAUUUAUGAUCAAAAUAGAACAUUUUCCAUUUCUUAAUUUACUGUUGUUUCUUGAUUCAAUCCAAUAUCCAAGUGAUUAGGUAUAAGUUGGUGUUGAUUGUUCAUGAAAUGGAGCAAAAGUUUUUUAACAUAUAGGAAUAUGAUGUUGUGGGCAUGUGAUUAGGUUGGUAUUAAUGGGGAAUGAGUGCUCUUUGAGGAGUGCCAAACAGAAAAUAAUGGAUUCAAUUAUGAAAGUGGUGGUCCCAGAGCCAGUAGCGGUGGUUGGUUUGGACAUGGAAGAUGAAAGAGAAGGAGCUUUUAAUGAUGCAGUGGAUGAAGCAUGGAGAGCUUUUGGACACUUGGAUGCUCUUGUCAAUUGUCAUGCUUACGAAGGUGGGUAUCUAUUUCUAUCUGGAUUUGCUAUGAAUAUCAUCUCUGCUGAUAUUUUUUCCAAUUGAUGUUGACGUGGCAUAUAAAAUGUUCAUAUUUUGGGGCAGUUUGGAACUUCUGCCCUUAAUAUUAUCCUCAUUUUUCAGAUGGGAUGGGAUUCGAUAUUAAGCCAAGACGCUUUGAUUUUUCAACAAUGAACCACAACGGUAAAAUUAUAUUAUACUUUAAAUUUCAUUUUAGCCUCUUUACCAAAAAUUAUGCAAAAUGAUCAUUAUACCUUAAAUGAAGGAGCGAAAUAGUUCAUCUGUUAAAUUGUGUCUAUUAAUUUUUAUUUAUGUCACGCAUAAUAAUUUAUGUUUAAGUUUUUAAAUGUUUUAUUUUUUUAAAAGAAAUUGUUUUUUUUUGCAUUUCUAAUUUUUCUAAAAGUAGAAUAUUUUAUAAAAAUUAAAAAAAAAGCAUGUACUCUUUUAAAAUUUUAGAAAUUUUUUAUUUUUUAUGUUUUAAUUUUUAAAUUUAGAAUUUUUUAUAAUUUUGAAAUUAUGUUUUUUAUUUAUGCUUUUUAAUUUUUUUAUGGUUUUUUAGAAUUUUGUUCUUGUACAAUAUAAGACAAAAUAGAGUAAGUAAACAAUAAAAGGUAGAUAGUCAAUUUGCUUAAAAUAGAAGAGUAGUGCUAAUUAAAAUGAAUAAAUGUGUAAAUAUCACAAUGAAAUUUAUUAUUAUGUUUUAUAUAUAAAGUGUGAACAUAAGUAUUUAACGACGUAAUUUUAAUAGAGAGACUGUUUUGGUCAUUCAUUUAACAUAUAAUGAUUAAUUUAUUUUUUUUAGUAGGGGGUCAAAAUGCAAAUCAAAGUAUAGUAUAGGACUCGCUAUGAUACUUUUACAGAAAAAAUAAAUUGUAUAAAAAUUGGGUAAACAACACUAGUAGUCACCCAAUUAUUAAUAAAUUUCUUUUUUGGUCACCAACUAUGAAACAUUUAGUAAAUUUCUUUUUUAGUCACCAACUAUGAAAAGUUACAAAAAUGGUCACCCAACUAUUCAAUUUUAUCUUUUUUGGUCACUAGUUGGCUAACAAUGACAGCUUUUAAAAUUAACAUGAUAGAAGAUUUAACCAUCGACAUUUAUACAUUAUAUCAAUUUAGUCUUGAUUCUAAAAAAAAUUAACCCUCAACAUUAACACAUUGUCUUAUUUGGUCCUUUUUUUUUUUACAGUUUUGCUUUUCUGUGUGAUCUUUCACCUAAAAAGUCAAAAAUAUUAUUAGCUAAAUUUGAUUGAAAAUAUACAAAAAAAUGAAAACACUAAAAAAUUUGAAAUAAUAAUUUUCAUCUUUUCUUAUUCUUUUAAAAUUGACCCUUAAUGUUACAAAGAAAAAAAGAGAGAGAUUAAAUUACACAAUGUAUAAAUAUUGAGGGUUAAUUUUUUUUAGAAUCAAGAUUAUAUUGACAUAAUUUAUAAAUGUUGAGGGUUAAAGUUGCUAUUAUGCCACUUCUAAAAGUUGUUAUAGUUAGCCAGCUGGUGACUAAAAAAGAUAAAAUUGAAUAACUGAGUGACUAUUUUGUAAAUUUUCAUAAUUGAGUUACCAAAAAAAAGCUACUAAUAAUUUGGUGGUGGCUACUAGUGUAGUCUACCCUUAAAAAUUUUGGGUAAUAUGAGAUUCUUAGGAUAACUGGGAUUUUGUACAUAAAUGGGUUUAGUCAUGGGUGAUAUUAUUUAGAUAAAUUAUAUAAAUAGUCAUUCAACUAUUAGUAUGUUUUUGUUUUGGUCAUUCAAGUUUAAAAUUUUGUGUUUUACUCAAUAAUGUUUUUGAAAUUUAAUAUUUUGGCAACUUCUCUAUUAAAUCACUAAUGAAAUGUUGGCACAACCUUUUUUUAUUGACAUAAUAACAAAUUUAGACUUCCAAUGUUGAUAGAUUUUAUCAAUUUUUUACUAAUUCUAAAAAACUU